AUUAUGCAAACUGAAGUUUUAAAAUCAUUUCUACUUUCUAAGAACUAAACUUCAAUCUUCCACAAAAAUCUAUGUGUAUUGGUUCCUUAGGUUCCGAGAAUAAUAUGCUACUAAUCUCACCCCCCAACCUAACUCUUUUCAACACUUUAGCAACCUGACCAAAAUCAAUAAGAAAAGAACACACUUUCAUUUUUUUUUUUUUUUUUUAAGGUAGCUUUAUGGGGUACUCUUUCUGACUUGUCCAUGUAAUGGGGGUCCAUCGAUGACUCCCAACCAAUUAAGGUUUAGGGCACCAAGUUUUAAGGAUCUUUCAACCACUAACUCCUCGGAUUUUUCCCCGGACUUUUAAGAAUGAAUUUCUAAUACCCAAGCAUCUACCAUAUGCUAACUCUACCUAUUCACCCUUGUAACGAGCAUUGAGGUCGGUGACUCCCAACCAAUUAAGGCUUAGGGCACCAGGCUUUAAAGAUUUUCACCAUAUACCCCUCAGACCUUGCUCGGGUUUCAAGGCAAGCAAACAAAUUUCUUUAUUUCAAAGGCUCAUUGGCCUUUUGCAGGGUGUUUCAAUUUUUAUCAAAUGAGGUCAAAUAUACCAAGUCCCAAAAAUAUACUAAGUCAAGAGGGAAAUAGCUUUUCAUCUUAUAAUCGGAAACUAAUGUGCACAGUGUGUGGAUAGCUUAAAGUGGAAGAACUCAAUUCAAUUACAGUAGAAGUUUCAACAAUUGAACUACUUUAGUAAGCAUAAUCCAUACUCUAAGUCAAGUGAAAAACAACAGUUCAAUUUCUCUUGGUUUAAUUUUGAAAAUUUUCCUCAAAAUUCAUGGAGAAUAGAGUAACAAGAGUAAAAAGUAAAAUCUACAACUAAUUAACCAAUAAUUGCAAUACCAAAAAGAUUUAGCAUACUUCCUUCCUCAUACCCCCCAACCGAACUGAGCAUUGUCCUCAAUGUGAUUUGAGUGACUGUAAUAAAAGGGAGGAAGUGGUACCUCCAUGCUGAUAUCAAAUUCGAAUAUUGAUUGGGGAAAACCACAUGUUUCAAAAAGAAUAGAAUAUGUGAGAAAAGGAAAUAAGGAGAAUUUAAUGCUAACUUUUAACAAGAAAUAUUCAACUUGUAUUACUUUGAGUUCAUUUGAUUACGAUGCUAAAGACAAGUAACACAAGGAAUCCCAUAUAUAGUACCAAAAUACUGGGAUUUCUUUUCAACUAAAACAAAACAAACAUGCAUAAAAACAUAAACAGCAAAUAUAUAUAUAAUGUCUGAUGAGUGGGGUGAUGGUGCUAGGCAGAAGGAUCUGCCUCUUCAGUAGGUGGAUCAGCUGGGGUUUCAGGCUCUGGAGCUUGAGACUCUGAAGGCUGAGAGUGUGGCUCUGGUGGAGUAGGAAUGGAGGGCUCUACAGCUUGUGGCAGAUCGAAAUGGACUUGAAGCUGCCUUAGGAUGGCAACUUGUUGAGCCUGAGAGGCUAACAUCUGCUCCUGGCAUGCUUUGAUGGCUGCCAACUCCUGAGCAAGAUUGCUCUGGGAAGCUGUAAGAGUCUCCAAUGCUCGGCACAGCUCUCGAUAUUCGGAUAUAGGGAUGGCCAUCCUAGGCUCAGCAGAUGUGGAUGGCUGUGAUGGAGCAGGUGCAGCUGGUGGAGCUCGAGGGAUGGCAGGAGUAGCAAGUGUUAUACCUUCAGGUGGAUGUCUUGGGGAGGCUCUCCUUGCUGCUGGCUGAGGCUGCCCAGGCUGAUCAAUUUUGUAGGCCGUCAUAUUAUUCCAUUUAUCAAGGGUAAAUGGCUCACGGCAUAUUCUCUUUCUUUCCUGCUGAGGCUCAGAGGGGUAUCCGAGAUGCUCCAAAACUUGGCAUAACAGCCUUGGGAAGAGGAGUGGAAUGCAAUCUGCUCUUUGAAGCUUCUUCUUGUGAACCUUCUCCUCAAAGUAGAGAAGGGCUGCCAUGAUCAGAUGAUGAGGCCCAAAGAAGAAUCCUUCAGACAUCUUGUACAGGGCUUCUAGGAGAAUUCCCCUUCUUUGGGUCCAAUGCUGCAGGGGAUAGAUAUUAUGCCUCAAAAAGGCAUCAAUCAAAAACAUCACUGGAGGUAGCUCCCCCCUCAGCAGGUGUGACCGAUUUGCAGCUCCUCUAGUUAGGGUGCUAACCAUCUCUAACUCAGUAGGAUUUGUCCAAGCUUUAAAAUUGUCGAAUUGAGUUGGCUCAAAAGGAAUUUGCAGGGCUUCAGCAAUAUGUCUUGCUCCCAAAAUACCAUGCCUUCCAUCAAUUAUGAAAUGGAUCAGAGUUGGAUUUCUUACUUCUUUGGUUGUCAUGGUCUGGUAGAAGUCCGUGACUACCCGAGGAUAGAAAAAAUCCCUUGGAGCUAGCAGAUGCUCCAUAUGAUAUCUCCUCAGCAGCUGGAAUGAUUGGGCAAGCUCUGGCCUCACUCUAAAUGCUGCUAAGUCGAAGCAAAGCUCAGAAUGGAAUGCCCGAGUUCGGCAAUCCAAGUUUCCUUCGAUUGGGGCCUGGGGCAGCAUUGGCCUUCGGAUCACUUCUUCCAGAGGUGCUUCAGCUGCAAUUUGGGGCUCUGGAAUUGGCGCUUGAGGCUCCUGAGCUUUUUCUUGGGGUGCCGGAGAUUGUACCGGCGAUGGAAUUGGAGUUGCUUCUGGUGAGGGAAUUGGCGAGGCUACCGGUGACGACACUGGAAUUUGUACCGGUGAAGGAUUUGGAGAUUUCUCAGGGGAUUGCUCAGUCAAAUCGAUUGGUUCAGAGCUCUCAACCCUGGCUUUCUUCUUCAAUGGCUGACCACCUGACCUGGUUAAAUAUCGCCUUGCCGGCGGCUUUGGUAGCGCCGGCUUCACUGGAGGAGGGUUUGGUCUCGACGGCGAAGGCUUUGGAGCAGGUUCUGGAACAGAACCUGGACUUGGCUCCUUUCGCAGACUCCUUUUGCGGUUCGAAGGGGAUGACGACUUUGCCCCUCGCGUUCGUGCCAUUUUGGAAUACCGAAACUUUGGCCGGCGCUGCUGAACGGAGAAGACGACCGGAGACACGGACGGCGCGGCUUGGCGAAGAAGAUGAAGGGGCUGCGAGAAUGGUGCUCUGAUUUUUGAAACCCUUUUCGCAGCACUUUUGGCCGGUAUAAAUAGGAAAAAACGGAAGCCCAGGGGUCAGUUUACGUUUCGCAACAAAACGCCAAUUUCGCAGCAACUUGCCAUUUUCGCAGCAACUUCGCAGUGAGUUUCGCAGUUGCGAAAUUGAUGUCACUGUGUUGCGGAGUGGCACUCGUGUGCCAAAACCACUUUCGCAAUUGUGAAAUGCCCUGCGGAAUGGGACUUUUGGUGCGAAAUCACGCUUUUCCAUUUCGCAAUGAGUUUCGCAGCUGCGAAAUGGGUACUACUGUACUGCGAAGUGGCACUCGUGUGCCAAAUUCACUUUCGCAGCUGCGAAAUACCUUCGCAGAGGCUUCUACAGUGCUGCGGAAUGGGUUGGCAACAAAACGCCAAUUUCGCAGAGGUUUCCUUCACCCUGCGAAAUUUCGCAGAGCUCUGUUUUUCCCCUGUUUUUGCUCUGUUUCGGCUCCAAUUUCGACCCGAUUUUUUUUCUUUUCAAUCCCCUUGAAAUUUCUUCCGCCUGGGAUCAUAUAAAACGAUUAAAACACACCUAAAAACAUGAUUUAAGAUCAAAAACUAAGAUUAAAAGCAUAGAAACAACUUGAAAAUUUACAAAAUUUACAAAAAUUUUGGACUGUGGUUAAACCACGUCCAGCAAACCCAUUUCACUUAGGCUUUUUGAGGCUCAAGGAGGUUGAUUGCCCCCUUUUCUGAUUUGAAUGACUCCAUGAACGGCUUAAGACGAUAUCCAUUGACUCUAAAGCUGUCCUUGCCAUUGGAAUUCAAUAAGUCCACCACUCCAUUGGAAUAUACUCGGUGAAUAACAAAUGGACCAAUCCACAUUGACUUAAGCUUCCCAGGAAAGAUAUGGAGUCUUGUGUCAUACAUCAGAACUUUUUGCCCUUCCUGAUUCAGUUUGCCCGGAUCCCAUUUGAAGCUUGCAUCCUUCACUUGAGACUUGGUUUGAGAUGAAGAUAUUACGACAGGACAUUGAUUAUUUUCUUCAAGGUAUGUGUAUUUCAGCUCCAUAGGUAAAUGCUUCAGAUUGAGUUUUGGAAUUUCUUUUUCAACAGCUGCCUCCUCUUCUUCAUUGAACAGAGGUAGAAUUCCUUCUAUCUUUCUCCAACUGUGUAGAGUAGCAAGCCCAAUAGGAGAUUCAGAAAAACCUUCCUCAAUAUCCUCAAGACUUUCAUUCAACUUAUCUUGCAUAUGUUGAUUGCAGUGCUCCUCCACCAAAGUAUCAAUAAUACAUAGCUCUUCUGGACCCUCUUCUUCUUCUGUAGUGAUUUGCUUUUUAGACAUAUAGAAAAUAUUUAGAUCCAGUGUCAUAUUACCAAAAGUGAGUUGCAUAAGCCCAUUUCUACAGUUGAUGAUUGCAUUUGAAGUAGCAAGAAAUGGCCUUCCAAGGAUGAUAGGAACUAAAUUAGCUUCCUUUACAGUAGGAUCAGUAUCAAGAACAACAAAAUCUACAGGAUAGUAGAAAUUAUCUACUUGAACCAAUACAUCCUCAAUUACUCCUCUUGGAAUUUUCACUGAUCUAUCUGCCAAAGAUAAAGUGAUUGAUGUUGGCUUCAACUCUCCAAGUCCCAGUUGCUUGUAGACAGAGUAUGGAAGCAAAUUCACACUUGCUCCCAAGUCUAGCAAGGCUUUCUCCACUACCUUUCCUCCAAUCAUGACUGAAAUGGUAGGACUUCCAGGGUCUUUGUACUUCAAAGGAGACUUACACUGUAAGAUUGCACUUACUUGCUCAGUCAAGAAGGCUUUCUUGUUUACAGUCAACCCUCUCUUGAUAGUACACAAGUCCUUUAGGAAUUUUGCAUACGUUGGAACUUGUUUGAUCAUAUCCAGCAGUGGAAUAUUAACUUUCACUUGUCUCAAUACUUCUAGGAUUUCAGCUGCAUUUCUAACCCCCUUUUUCCCCUGUAAUGCUUGAGGAAAAGGUGGAAAAGUUGAUUUCUUCAGCAUUUCUUCCUUCAGAAGCUCCUUCUCUGGAAUUACUUUCAUUGUUGCAUCAGAGUCCUUCUUUUCUUCACUGAUCUCACUGCCUUUAUCUUCCAUUUCCUUCCCUUUCUUUAUCUCUUCUUCUUUCUCAACAUGUGGCUUGGGUGUUGGCUGCUCAAUUUUCUUACCACUCCUUAGAGUGAUCAAAGCUUUCACAUCUUUCACCUGUGAUGAUUCUCCCUCAAGGCUUUCCACUUCAUGGACACCUUUGGGAUUUUGGUUAGGUUGAGAAGGAAAUCUUCCCUUUUCUUGCAGUGUAUUCAAAUUUGUAAGCCUUGAAAUUGAAUAUUGGAUGUUAUCAAACUUUUGAUUCAUAUCAUUUUGCAUUCCAUCCAUUCUUUUGUUCAACAUACUCUCCAUUCUGUCCAUUCUUUGAUCCACUCUGUCCAUUCUUUGAUCCACUCGAGCAUUGGUGGCUUCUUGCUUUCCCACAAAAUCUCCCACUACCUUGCUGAGAUUAGCUAUUAUUUGUUCAAUACUUGAAGAUUGCUGAGUUGGUGGAUCCGGCUGUUGGUAUUGAGUUGCUCUGGCCUUCCAUGAGAAAUUUGGAUGAUUCCUCCAACUUGAAUUGUAAGUAUUUCCAUAAGGAGCAUUGUUAUUGGGCCUGAAUUGUCCAACAACAUUUGCUUGAUCUCUAUACAUUUCCCUUUCAACUGAAAUUGCAGGGCAUUCCUCUACCAAAUGUUCAAACGAUUGACAAUUGGGACACAACUUCACUUGCACUGGUGCUUCAGCAACAGCUUGCACUUCAUGCAUUCUUUUCAGCUCCAGCUCCUCCAAUCUUCUUGUCAUAGCUGCCAACUUUGCUUUCAUGUCAUCAUCUUCUUUUAAAUUAUACAUCCCAGCCUUUGCAUUGUAAGCAUUCAACUGAGACUUCAUCNNNNNNNNNNNNNNNNNNNNNNNNNNNNNNNNNNNNNNNNNNNNNNNNNNNNNNNNNNNNNNNNNNNNNNNNNNNNNNNNNNNNNNNNNNNNNNNNNNNNCUCUGGAAUGUAUUACAAACAUCUUCAAAUUCCUUGAUGUGUGCAUACGGAUUCUCACUUUCCAUCCCAUGGAAAGUUGGUAGAAGUGGAACAAGAUAUGGUCUGAUCACUAGCUGCUCUGUAGGGGGCACUAUACAUGAUGGUGCACUCAUACGAGGUGGAUGCAUACGGUCCCUCAUUGAUCUGAAUUCAUUGAGAUUGUCUUGACGACCUUGGUGACUAUGCUGAUCUUCAGGUGCAGCCUCCAUGAUAUUCAAGAUUACUUCCAAUUCUCCUCUCUGAGGUGUAUCACACUUAACAAGCCUACCUCCAAUGUCUCGUAUCCACUUGGGCAUACACAACUAGUAUUCAGCUGCAACUAAAAAAAUGAAAACAGAGGACACAAAAACAGAGGACUACAAUAGCAAAAUUAAACUAGACUAAAAUUUAAAAAGAUAAACUUAGAUUAUAAAUAAACAAAGAAAGAAUGAAAAUUAAUAAAGUGAAAGAAACUUUACCAACUUGUGAUGAAAAUCACAAGUGCUCAAAAAUGGUAUCACAAUGAACUUGACACUCAUUCCCCGGCAACGGCGCCAUUUGACUCAUGCUCAAUUGGUGUCUCAGCUGAUUUGUGUUCAGCUGGUGCUCCUUGAUUGAGGAAGUGAUCAACAAAAUUUAUACCUAUAACACCAUACACUAGGGUAGCAAAUACAAAGCUACUAUAGUAUAGUGGCUCUAAGGAUCGUUCACUGGGAAUGAAUAAAUUAACAAGCAGUCAAGGAUACCAAUUCCAAGUGAAUUGGUUUUGUUUCAUUUCACGGUUAGUUUAAGAAAUAAAACACAAAGUUUGAUUGGUAAAGGUUUAGACUUAAACUACCUAACUUAACAGAAGUUUGGAAUAAUUUAGGAAGAAAAACAUUCCUUGGAGAUUUAGGUUCACUGGGGUGGUUCCUCAUGCAAAAGACAUAGCUCCGGUCAGAUGGUUCAUUUCCUCGCAUUAGAGAUUCAACUUAUAGUCAAUUCUCUAACCGGUGAUGUACAGAGACUCCUUCAAUUAGAUUUCACUUUAAUUCUCUCACUGAUACAACUUGCAAUGGUUCAUGCCUCUCACGAGCACUUACCAUUCAAGGUGAUCUUUAACCUUGGACUUCCCUUCACAAACUCGCAAGAGAUAACUAAUGGAUGUCUCCUAGGAGUCCAAAAGCUUACCAAGUGUUGGUAAUUCCAGAAAAUCCUACCUUGAAGUCACCUACCAGAGGCUCGCAAGGGGUAAACUAGUGCAUUUCCAUGGUUGGAAAUCACUUGCCUUACCAAGUGUUGGCCCAGGUGACUCUAAGGUGUUUUAAGUUAACUAAAAACAUUGAAAUCACUAAAGGAUUUCACUUCCUCUUCAUUAAAAACUAAAACCACAAAGCUUUGCAUUUUUGCACUUGGAACCUUCCCCGGCACCCUUAGCUCCAAGGAAUUGGAGGUUUAGUUACUCAUUCUCUGGGGAAAACUCCUCAGAGAAUUCAUAACUUAGAAAUAAAAUGAAAAUACAAAGUGAGAAGGUAAGGCAGUAGAAAGAAAAGACUUUACUUGCUUACCAAAUGGUUUUCAGAAGGAACUCCUCUCUGAGAACAUGCUCCCGAGAGGUAUUUAUAUCAAAGCAAUAUAAAACUAAUUAUUACAUAGAUAUUUGGUCUUUUUACUAACUUAAAAACUAAGGAAUCAUGUAAUUGGUGGUUUACAAGGAGUAUUUUGGAAUUUAGACAACAAAAAUCUAAUGGAAAAUAUCUCCCAAUGUCGGUAGCAAGCUUCGGGAGGCUUCCGGAGCCAUUUCGCAGGAGAAAAGUGAGGUCUGCGAAAUUUCGCAGACACCCAAGAGGGCUGCGAAAUUAUUUCGCAAGACCGAGCUAUCUUCACCAGGCUGCAAAGUUGGCUUCCAUCUUGAAGUUUCCAGCUCCCUUCUCGCGGCAUGGUUCGUGCAUCGUCAGAAGGAGAAACACCUUACUGUACAAAAGUGUUGCGAAAUUCUCGCAACAAAAGGCUGAUUCCGCAACACUUUAGAGUGACUGGCUUGUAAUGGCUGCAACUUCUUCGUUUCAACUCCGAAUCAUGCACCGUUUGAAGCAUUGGAUUGUUGACUUCCUGAGCUUUGAAAUGGUAUAUAGCUUGCAUCAUUUGGACUUCAGAAAGUGCUCCAAAAGUGGCUGCUACGACUGUCAUCAAGAAUAUGCUCCAUGACUGAUCCUCUUUGCUUUUUCUCCUUGCAAUCCGGAUUCACUCUUGGCAAUUGAAUUCUAAGCUUUGCCCAAGAUUCCUCAUAGCUCUCCUCAUUCUUGACUUGCUUUGGUGAUCAAAAUACUAACAAGAACACCAAAACUUACACAAAGUGAUCAAAAUUGCUUUAAAGGAUCCUUAACAUGUCAAUUGAGUUAAAAGGCCUAAACUACUACUCAAAAGUGUUAAAAAGGAUUAAUUAAAGGCUAUCAAAUAGCACUUUUUGAGUAGUAAUCAUAUGCCAAGCCCUCCCUUGGCCUGCACUCCUUAUAACAUGCCUCACCAACUUGUUGUAGCAUCUCUAGGCAACCUACUGCAUGUUGUCUAUGCAACCCAUGUGUGUGUCAAGCCCUCUCUUAAUUAGCCUACACCCCUUAGAACAUGUCUUACCAUCCUGAUGUAGUGUCCUUAAGCAACCUAGUGCAUGCUCUCUAUGCAGCCUUUGAGUGUGUCAAGCUCACUCGUGGCCUACACACCUCACAACAUGCCCUAUCAACUUACUAUGUGCAUUUCUAGGCCCUUGUUACUCCUUGAGCAUGCCAACCAGUCAUACUCAUGUGUUCCAAUCACAUCUCUGCCAAGGCAAGCUACUCAUGCAUCCCUCUUAUUGUUGAUAUGACUCCAUGUUUUGCCCAAACCCUCUUCUUAGUGCAACAACAAGUCAUAACAUUGCACCCAUGACUUUUCAUCUUUGCACAUAAGGCAUUGUGCCAAGCAUUAAAUGUCAUGUUUAAGUCAGCAUCAUUGAUGCCACAUCGCCAUGCCUCACCCAAGUUCAUUUUGGUGUUACAACAAACCAUGACAUUAUGUACAUGGCUCAUCAAGCUACCUCAUUGCGCAAGGCAUUACAUCCUUAUGCUACCAUUAGAAAUGAAGACUAUGUCGCACCUCGUGUCAUUGUGGCCAUGGGUUACACACCACCAUGUGUCAUGAAGCCCAUGCAUGGGUGCUACAAGACUUAUCCCAUGUGUCUUGCUCAUGUAAGCACCUAGGUGUGCCCAUGUCACCUUGUCUUUCUUGAGUUAGGUUCUUCUUCAAAGAAAAAAUACCGACAUGCCAAAAUUCAACCCUUGAAUUUUGGCCAAGUUAGGCUCAUGUCGCUUGUUUCCCUCAAUAGGCUUCAUCUUACCUUACCUUGAUCAUAGGCCACUCAUAGAGCCAAGGUGUCGUCCUAUGAGGCCUUUGUGUCGCAUACUUUGAGUCAAAGGGCUAACAAUAGACCACUAAAAGAUUUGAAAUUUUCAACAUAAACUUAAUGAGCUACCACACAUUGUAACUAUGCCUUGUGUUUCUUUUAAACUAACAUUUAGCAUAUCAUGGUCUUGAUACAAAAAUCCCUCGUCAUUAAGUUAAGAGUUGGUAACAAUGAGGUUCAACAAGGCCUAAUUGAUCUUGUUAGUUUAAUUGACCUGUUUUAGAAGUCAGCAUAAUGUCACAAAAUGCUUCAAAUGAUCCUCCCCAUGGGCUUAUAUAUCGGAGCAGGAAGUUUUUAAGACCCCUGGAGACAUCCACACUUAACUACAAGGUGGAAGAGUGUGGAAGCUUCUAGAGAAGGUUAGAGAUGUCCACACAUCUCCACACUUGGGUAGGAGACCAUUGGAAUAAUACGGGGUGUUCUAAAGUCUUCCAAAGUCAUCUUGUACAUAAAUUAAUGUAGGAGCUUCUAGAUUAUUCUUGAUUUGUAAGGAACUCAACAAGGUUCUAAAGACUUCCUAAGGUGCCUAUAAAUAGGUGAGACCCUCAUUUGGCCAAGGCACCAAGUAAACGAGUUUCCUAAGCACUUAUAAAGCAUCCUUAAGAGCAAUAAAAGCUUCCAUUUUUUUAAGUGUUUUCUACUAUACCUUCUAAAGCUUCCAAGUCGUGUAGAUCUUAACCUAACAAGUUAAGCGUCGGGAGUAAGAUUGACUUAAUAAGAUCAAGUGUCUUGGCUUGUCUUAGUAUCACACGAGCUUAGGGAAAUACUGGGUCCAUAACAAUAAUUACAUGUGAAUAUCAUAGAGGGAAAGGUAACAAUACCCAAUCUAUACCCAUUGGUAGGCUUCAAUGGGAUACCCUGCAAACCAUUAGGUGAAGUCACAUUUCUCGUAAAAUGAGGACCCGUUAUCUUGCACACACGAUUUUCGAUCAUGAAAACAUCAUAAUAGGAAGGUGUUAGAAAAAUUAGGCUAUUAAUCAAAUCUAUGGUAAUCGCCUUAAAGAGAGGGGGGGAGGGGGGUGAAUAAGAUGAUGGUCUCUUUUUGUAAAUUUAAAUUAUGUGAAUGCAAAAGAUAAUUAUAUGCAAAUAUAUAAUAAAACAAUAUAAAAAUAAUUGCAUAUAAAUUAAAAUAAUAGGGAAGAGAGAAUACAAACACAAGAUUUUUAUAGUGGUUUGGCGCAACUCGGCCUAUGUCCACUCUCCUCUAACUUCAAUCCCAAGCUUAAGGCUCCAAUAUUUCAAGGCUUCCAAACCAAACCUUCAAACAAUACAAUUGGAUUAUGGUUCUAGUCCACCAUCUUGGACUUUUGACUUCAAGCACCCUUUACAAUCCUCAAGAGAUACCCACUCUUGAACAACCUCUCAAAAGAUACCCCACACUUGAGAAUUCUAAAUUGAUACCUCACACUUAGAUUCUUCCUCUCAAAGAUAUACAAAUAAUUUCACAAAAUCCUACUACAAAACUUUAGGCUCAAAUGAUGUAAAAAAACUAGGAUUGAAUGAUGCACUAAAGAUAUGCAAGUUUUAGAACAAUUGUGCACUAAAAAACACUCUCCCAAGACUCAAAUAUAUUCAAGAAAGAUUUAGGAAGGUUAAGCUCAUGAAACAAUAAAGAUUGGAGUUUUUUUAUAGAAGAAAACAACCAAACUAGCCGUUGGGGGUUUGACCGAUCGAGUUGGGGGUUGACCGAUUGACUAGCCGUUAGCAUUUAAUGUUUGGCAGGUGACUGUUGGACCUCAACCGCCUCUUGACUGGACCUCAAUCGGUUGAGGCUCAACCUCAAUCGAUUCAGGUUCAACGUUGAUCGAUUGAGGUUUAACUUUGACCAAUUGAACAAUUGUUCUAGAAGAGAGAGAAGGUUUUUUGUACCUCUCGACCAAUUCAGCUGGGGGUCGACCUAUUCCUAGACCGGUUGAGUUAGGGGUCGACCUAUUCCUCGACUGGUUGAGUUAGAGGUCGACUUAUUCCUUGACCGGUUCAAUCGGUUGAGCCAUUUUUGGCUCAACAACCAUUCUCUUCAACUUAAAACCUUUUAAACAAGUUUGGAAAACAUUUGACACAAGGUUUUAGUUGAAAACAUGAAAUCAUCCAAUUUUAAAGGAUUUAAAACGAAAUAACUCUUGGAUGAUUUUGGUGCAUAAGUAAAGAAUGUAAUGCAUGAAAAAAACCUAAUGCACCAACAACCUUACAAAGAGAUCUUAUGAAGCUUGGGUCUUAAAAAGAACUUCUCUUUGAAGUCUUCUGACUGAACUUCUCUAUUGUACCAAAAUACUUAGUCUUUUUAUGUAGUAAUUUUGGUCAAGAAAAACUAGAAAAAGAGUCACUACGAAUUUUGUAGUAUUCCGGGUAUCGUUCUCAAUGACUGGCUUAUGGAAAUUGUCAACACUAGAAUAAUUGAAUUGCUUUCUUUUAAAUCUUAAAGUGAAAAACAAUAUGAGAAUAAUGUGAAACUAAGUAAAAGAAAUUAAAUUAAUAACAAAAUGGAUAUUGAUUUUAAAUUCGAUUGAUUUAAGUUUGGGGUUUUCCACAAUCCAACCUAGGGUAUAGAAAUUAGAGAAAACAAGGGUCUUUUAAGUAAUAUGAUCUUAGGGUUUUGGGAUCCUUAGCUGCUCGCGAUCAAAUUGAGUUCUAUAACUCAAAAUUGCAUUCGAAACCUAAUUUUUCAUUUUUAAAACAGAUUUCUACAACCAUCAAAUGAAUGAAAUUGAUUACCAAUUUAAGAUUUGACUUUUUAACCCUUCCUAGUCCUUAUAGUUUUGUUUUGGGGCAAAUAACGAUAGGGAAGAUGAGGAUAACUAAUGAUCAAGAAUUACCAAGAAUCACUAGUAUCAGGUAAUAACCUACCGUAUCAUUCCCUAAACGAACUCACAAGUAUAGGAUUAAAAAAAAUGAUAAAUUGUCACCCAACCAAUAAUUAAUCUCAUUGUUAUAAUAAUUAACCCAUUGUCCCUAUAAGUUUUCUACCCCUUAGGUUUUCAUACUUUAAGCCCGAAGUUGGUUCUUAGCCUCUCAUGGGGGUGAUGUCACAUUCACAAUCCAUAAUAGGGUAAAAAUCCAUAAUUGAAUCAAAAGAACUUAAACAAUAUUUUUAAUAAAGAAUAAAAAGAAAACAAACAAAAGUUUUCAUCUUCUUUCAUCUUCAAUGUCAAACUCUCCGGAAAAAAAAUUCAAGAUCCCUAAAACUUAGAAUUAAGAAAGUUUAUAUAAUAUCAUCAAUUACCUAACAUGUGACACACUCUCAUUGACCACUUAUUACAAAAUAAUUUCCUAAAAAUGAUUAAAAAAAUAAUAAAAUUGUGAUUUCUAGCCGUGUAGGGUCCACUUAGGGCAGAUGGAGUACCCUAUAUGCAAUUCCCGAGGUAGAGGAGGCGAAACAUCAAAGUGGUAGUGGGUGAAUUCGAAAUUGGUAUCAUUUCGAAGUGAAUUUCGAAUUUACAAGUUGGAUUUCGAAUUCAUAAGUUGGAUUUCGAAAUCAUUUCGAAAUGACCCUUCAGCUUGGUGCAGUUAUCUUCCAAUGGUCAUAACUUCUUCAUUUCAGCUCCAAUUUGCACAUCAUUUGAAGCGUUGAACUUUUGACUUCCCGAGAUUCAAAAUGAUAUAUAGUAUAUAUAAAAUAGACUCUGGUAAGUACUCUAAAUUUAUCCUCAAAUUCAAAGUGUAUAUUACUACCAGAUUUUUGAGUUCUAAAUUUCCAUGUUGCCAUGUUUUCUUGCUUUCUUUCUUACUUCAUAAUGGUCAUUUCUCAUCUUUUAAACUCAUGAUAUCCUCAUCUUGCCUUUCCUUAUGGUCCAUGAGUCUUGACUCACUUAUUUCCUCAUUUACCCCUUUCUUAAUCUUUCAAAAUCUAAAGUGAUUCAACUUGCACCAUUUUCUUCCCUUGAACCUGAGAUAAGUUUUCAAAGUACAAAUUAAACUCAUAGCUAGGGUCUUAGCAUUGAUUUAGGUCAAAUUAUGUGAUUUGAAUGUCCUUUGGUGCACAAAUCAUAUCGAAUAUGUGUCAUUAGAGCAUAUAUUUUGGCUCUAAUCAUCUUUUUUUUCUUAUUGAUUUCUCUUUGGCUUAAUUUUGUCUUUAUGAUUGCCACUUUGGAAAUCUUUUUGCCUAAUCACACUUGAAAUAUAAUAUUAGUUACAAACCUUGUUUUGUUAUCAUCAAAACUGAAAUUAACCAAACCUUGGUUUCACAGAAAGCUUCAUAGCAUGUAGACCACCUUGUCAACCUAUAAUCAAGCCAUUAAUUUCCCUACAUACACCGUAAAGGAUAUAGGAAAUAUACGACAACCAAGCCACAAUGCAUAUGUAUUGUCAUAUCACCACUAAUAAUUCUAAAGGCUCUAAGAGUUAAGAAACUUAGGAAGUUACCAGUUGUGGAACCCCUAGAGUCUUUAGCACUAAUGGGAGAAAGGUGCAAGAAAAGUAGUUAUGAUUUGUUCCCUCUUAUCGUGCCAUGAGAAAACACAAAUGUGGCACUUGCUCAAGGAGUUCAAUGAUGUGUCACUUGAGGCCCCUUAUGAUAUGCUAGGGAUAGAUUAUGAGUUGCCUGUCAUCACUUGAAUGUAUUACGACUAGAUGAUUAAUUAUGUAAAAACCACUAAAAUUCACAUGUGAGAGACAUCAAGUAGUUAACAAAUAAGUGUUAGGGCUCUUACAAGCUAGUUUUAUACACGAGGUAUUAUAUUCAAAGUGGUUGGUGAACAUGGUAGUAGUGCCCAAAAAGAAUGAAAAAUGGUGAGUAUGUGUGUACUACACUAACCUAAAGACUGCUUGCCAAAGGACAGUUGCCCUCUCUCAUGCAUAUAUCAAUAGUAGUGCACCAAUUAUUGACAUUCAUCAAUACUUAUUUGGGAUAUAAUCAGAUUUGGAUGGACACAAGUGAUAAAGAGAAAACUGCUUUCAUAACAACAAAAGACGCAUUUUGUUUUAAAGUUAUGUCAUUUGGCAUAAGGAAUGCAAAUGCCACCUAUUGGACGAUGGUUAAACAACUCUGUUGGCAAUAGUUAGGUUAGACUAUGAAAGUAUACAUAGACAAAUAAUCAAAAGCAAUAACAUUAGAGACCACUUCUAAUACCUGGUAAUGUCCUAUAUUUUACAAGAGUAGUAAAUGAAGCUCAACCCGGCUAAAUGCACCUUCAAGGUAGGGUCCAAAAUGUUUUGAGGGUAUAAAAGUAAAGCCGAACUAACCAAAUAAGAAUUGUCCUUGAGAUGUCGAUGCCCCACAUCAUAGGGGCGCCACAAGGCUCACUAGGAAGCUCGUGGCAUUAAGCAUAUUCAUAGUAAGGACAAUCGAUUAAUGGAAACCCUUUUUAAGGUAAGGAUAGGGGGCAUAUGAAAAAGCAUAUGAACAACCAAAGAAAUGCGUCAUCCAUCCAUCGAUUCUAGCUAAACCCAAGUGAGGUCGUAUUGCUAUACCUAGAGGAUUGCUCAAUUCUGAACAGUAGAAAAGGGAGGAAUGUGGAGGGGCUUUCCCGUUCAACAGCAACAUGUGGGCCUGUUCAACAGCACCAACUGGCCUGAGGAGACCAUUCGAACCCCCUCGCCAUCAUAAGCAAAUAAAUCAGAACUUGAUCACAGCAACCGACGGUCAGUUGCACUAAUUAUGAAUUUAAUGUGCAUUAAUUGCAUACAAUGUGGCACCGUAAUCUUGCCCUUUCCAUUGACCAUACCGUCAUGUGGGAAAUCCAACUGCUCUCAUGGUCAGUACGUAAUAACCUUCUACUGACUUGAACAUUGAAGCCCUCGCUGAACAGCAAGGGGAACGAUACUAACAAUUUUACAUAUGAUAUAUAAAAUAUAUGUGCAUAGUGUGGCAUUUGCAAUCAAUGCACUUUGAGAUGGCCCAACUUUAGUUUAUAGAAGCCACAUUAACUUUUACUUUAAUUUGGGACAUACCGUCCUAUAAUCAGUCAUUGAGGGAGAAAAAUUGUGACCAAGCAACAGGAUUACUCCUCCAGAAGCAUCCUCCAUCGUGAGUUUCCUAAACGUUAUAUAUCUCAAGCUGCAAUCCAAUAUUUGGAUGGCCUCAAAUAAAAGCAAAUCAAGGCAUGCAAAGAUUGGGACUUGCCCGAUUGGAUAUGGCCAUCAACCUUGUUUGAUUUAAUUAGCAAAUCAUUAGUUACUCAAACUAUAAAUUAGAUGGAGCCCUCAAUUUUGAGGUGUAUUUCAAUCAAGAAAUUUUAGAAUAUUAAUAGAGACAGAUCUUAGUGUUAGAGAGAAUUCUUGCCCAAUCACUAUGGGGUUUAAUGAGUUGAAUAAAUUAGGAUAUCUAUGAGUAGACAGCAUGUCCCCAGAAGCCUUAGUGCCCAAGUUAAAGACAAGAAACAACUAGGAAUAUACCUAAGAGAAGCUCACCUUUUAAAAGGGCCCUUUGUUCCAUUAAGGGGUAAAGAAUUAAUACUCUUAUAUACUAAUUCUCUCCACUAAACUCAUGAACAAGACCCCUGAAAUUUUGUUCUUUACUUUUACAAAAUCUUCUAAAUUACUUUGAAUUAUGUAGAUGAUUAAUUAUAUGCAAUAUUUUAAAACAACAUUAUUUUAAUAAUUCUUUUAGAAAGUAUAAUUAAGCCAUUACGUGUUUGUAGGGGCAUGUGGCUAGGAUUUGGCCACCUUUAUAUUGUUAAUAUUUUUGAGAGAAUAUGUUUGGGCUUUUCCUUAUAAAUUAAGAGUUUUUAGUAUGAAUUAGACACUAAAAUACAAGCCUUAUGAACUUUUAAUGCAAAGAGCAUCACAAAUGAUUCCUCGUCCUACAUAAAAUAGGUUGAAAAUAAGAACCAAUACUCAUCCCCUUAACAUACCCUAUAGAUUUUAAUUUGUUUCAUAAAUUUAAAAAAAUAUAGAUCUAAUUUUCAUCUUCUAAUUUAUGAAAGGUCAAAUAUACUUAAUUUCAUUGACAAAACAAUUUUAAGUCAAAUAUAUCUAUUUAUGUUAAUCAAUAAAUGAUAGAAAUGAAAUAUUCAUGAAUAUUUAAAAAAUGAUAUAUACAUAUAUAUAGACAGAUAGAUAGUUCAUUUCUAAUAUAAAUAUAUUUUGAUUUAACUUAUAGCGUUAGAAAAUCACCUACAGCAUUUUCUAAAGAGAUGGUUUUCAUUUUGAGUAGAAAUAUGUUUUUCUUAAUUAAUAAUUAAACCAUGAGUAAGAUUUAAGAGUUUGGAAGCGAGAAGACAUGGUAGCCAUUCUGAUAAAAAGAAAAGGGCCAAUUAGAGAAUUAAAAGGGGAGAGGUGUAAUGAAAGCAAUUAAAAUUCAAAGCGGCCAACUUUUUCUAGAGUCUUGCUUUGCUUUGUGUAAGAGAGGGUCGUUAGGAGGAAACUCAAUUGUGAGCAACAAGAAAAAAAUGCCAUAUUCUAAAGAAGCUCUUGCUAGGCUGUUCUACAAUGUCUCCAGUUCUUUACAGCUUCUCUUCCUCUUCUUCUUCUUCUCCUCCAUUUUGCUUGCAAAGCUCCUCCACUUCCUCUGCAACCACCCAAUAUUCCAAAGGUCUACACCAUCUCUCUCUUGGUCUUUCUCUUGAUUAAUUUGCCAUAUAGACACAUAAAGAUGAUACUGUGUUUUAACUUUUCUUUUGUUCUUUCGCAGGACCCAACAUGGAUCUGCAGUUGGAUUGUUUUUGGACGACGAAGAAGAGGAGGACAUAUAUUUUCAUGAGGAGGAGUGCAUGGAGAAAGAUGAUCACCUGGUGGCCGACAUAGUUGAUGGUGGAGAAUCACUUCUGUUUUUGCCUGUCAACCGUCCUGUGAAGGAUCAAGAUCUUGAGCAUCAUGAAGAAACCAUAAGCAGUAGUACUACUCCUCGUGGCGAUUACAACUACUUCUUCCACCAAGAAGAGUCAAGUGAUGAUCAUAACUCACUGGUUCAAGAAUCAGAAGUACAUGAUGACAAGGAAGAUGAGGCUGAAGAAGAGAUCCCAACAUCAGAUACUGAUGCUGAUGCGGUAUACAAUUUUGGCCCCAAUGAAGGUGACCCCACCUCGCCGAUAACCAUCAAUCUAACCAAAAGUGGCUUGGUGGCCGAUGACGAAACCCAUGACGGUAUUUGCAUUAUAUUUGGCAUCCUUAGCCUUAUACCAUUAGUUAUAGUGCUUUAAUUUUAGUACUGGCACUCCACCUGAAGUUGCUUAUUCCUUUGUAGAGAAACGCGACGAGGAAGAUUCCAAAGGUGGUAAGGAUAAAAUUGAAGAUGGGAAGGUGGAAGAGACUACAAAUUUCACUAAAGAUGAAAAGUUCUUAAUUUUUGCGCCCCCUCAAUCGGAGGCUAAGAAGUUUCAUGUCCAAGAAAAGGAUAAUGAAGAGACUUGUGGCGACUCGUAUACCGUUGGAUCUACUUCUAAGAGCUCGUCUGAAUGGAGAAGUUCCAUUAAUUUCAGGGAUUCAGGGACAGAAGAUCCAUUUUCGUCCUCUUCCCGGAGGAGUUGCCCCAAGUGGGAAUCUUACACUGUGUUUCAGAAGUAUGAUGAAGAGAUGACAUUCUUAGAUAGGAUCAGCGCCCAAAAGCUUCAGGAAACAGGUAAUUUUCACUUUACAUAUUUAUUUAUUUUACAUUAUGAUCGUACCAUUUUAUAAAACAACUUAGAAUCUAUUUGGUAGUGAUUUUAAGAAGCACUUUUAAAGUUUUUAAUACUUAAAAAUUUUCAUCAUUCAAAAUGUUAAAAAUGUUAUAAACGCUUUCUAAAAUUACUUCCAAAUCCACUCUUAAUUUACAUAGCUACAUACAGAGUCUCUUAGGUCAAUCCAAGUCUGUCCAAAGUCAAUCUCAGGGAGGAUUGCUCAUAAAUUGGGAACAAUCAACAAGAGAUCAUCAGAUACCCAUCAGAACCCGUAUCAUGAACUAGAAGCUGCUUAUGUAGCACAAAUUUGCUUAACAUGGGAAGCUCUUAAUUGGAACUACAAGAACUUUCAGCGCCUGAGAGCUUCGCGUCGUGAAUGUGACCCCGGCAGUCCUGCUCAUAUUGCCCAGCAGUUUCAGCAAUUCCAAGUGCUUUUACAGCGGUACAUUGAGAAUGAGCCCUAUGAGCAUGGCAAGAGACCUGAGAUUUAUGCUAGGAUGAGAAUUUUGGCACCAAAGCUGCUCCAAGUGCCAGAAUAUCGAGGUACUCAUAAGACAAAGUGCUUUUAGUUUCUCGAGAUAACUUCAAUUUUCUUUUUGUUAACAAUAUAUCUGUAUAUUAAUUGGUUUUUAAAGAUUCUGAAGAUGAUCAAAAGGAUGAAAGUCUGAAGUCAAGAAUUUCGUCAGAUUCAUUUCUUAUUAUAUUAGAAGAGGGAAUAAGAACAUUCAUGAAUUUUCUCAAGGGGGAUAGGGAGAAACCUUGCCAGAUCAUAGCAGCUUUGUUCAAGAGGAACCGAAAAGGUUUGGUUGAUCCAACUCUUCUACAUCUGAUGAAGAAAGCAAAUCAGAAGGUACAAAUUAAUGGUAUUUGCUUUUGAGCCAUUCAAAAUAUCUACAUUAUUUUCUAAACUUACAGUUCGGUGUUAAAAUUCAAUCUGCAGAAGAAGUUAAGGCUCAAAGAUCUCCGCAGAACUGGCAAGUGCUUAAGGAAAAGAAGGUUAAAGGAGGAGGAAGAAAUGGAGAUUCUGAUGGGACUGAUAGACAUAAAAGUGGUGUCUAGGGUUUUGAGAAUGAGUGACAUAACAGAAGAGCAAUUACACUGGUGUGAAGAAAAGAUGAGCAAAGUGAGAGUUUUGGAAGGGAAGCUGCAAAGAGAUUCCUCACCACUUUUCUUCCCUGCACACUGACCCCACCAUAGAUUGGGUAUUUGUUGCUUGAUGACUAGACCAUGAAUGUGCGGUGACUGCAUGCAGAUGAAUAUCCUAAGGCAGACACACCCUUUUGUAAAUACUGUAAAGAAAAAUGAGAGGAAGGGGACCCACAAAUCAAAGCCAUGACAUGUGGGUGACAUAGAUUUUGAAGAUAUGGAAUCCAUGAAAGAAAAGAUGGGUUGGCUCUCUGAUUUCAUGAACAUUGAAAGUGAAAAGAGCUGGGACAAAGCAAGGAACACGAAGAUAGAGACGAGGUAGCUUUAGUUUGCUUUAUCUUUUGAAUUAGGGUUUAUCUAUAAGGGUUUUGAGCUGAAUCAAAAGAGAGAGAUUUGGGCAAAGCUGCUGCUACACAUGCAGUGGAAUAAAAAGGUGGCACAUGGUACACUCAAAGGGUGGGAGCCCGAGCUUCAUUUGGUACCACUUUCUUUGGGGAAAAGAUGAAUAAAUAAAUAAUCAACCAUGUAAGGUGUAUUCAGACUUCAGAGAGUUGCGUCCCUCUCAUGAUUUCUAUAAAAAGUUAAUCUUGUAGUUGGGUUAUCAUGACCUUCAUUGACUUCCAUCAUCAUUAAUAAUCUUUGGAAGAUAGUCUAUGAUUUAUUUCAUGAGCACUCUCUGCAACAUUCCAUUUAUUUGAUUUAUAUAUAACUCAUACAAUAAAAAGAUCAAUGUUAUACUAAUAUGUACUCAAUAUUGACACCUUCUAUUAAAUAAGAUUACUAUUUCAUAUCUUAGGUAAUAUGUCUACAUUCAUACAUCAAACUUAUUUGGACUUUAGUCAUAACCAAAGUUAAUUAGCUCAAUGAACCAUUUUCAGCCAUUACCAAAUUAUUUCCUAUGGUCAUGUCUGGACGUUGGAAUGGAGAUUUUAGAAUGGAAAUAGGAAUCAAAAAUUCAUUAGUGUGGAAAUUAAAUUCCACUCUCAUUAAUUAGGAUUUUGAUUCUUUUUUUUCAUAUGGUGUAUGUAUUAAGAUUCACCUUAGAGAUGACAACGAGACCGUUUGAGACUCUCACCCCUAUCCCAACCUCAUUCUGUUUAUUUAUACAUAUUUCCAACUUCUCAAAAUAUAUAUAUACAUAUUUAAAUGACAGGAUUUAUAUAGAAAAUUCUCAUACCCAUUUUGCCUACCCCAUUUAAUUUUUUAAAAUUUUUUGUUUGUAAAAUUUAAAUUUUAUUAAAAAUAAAUAUAAAUUAUAAAUAAAGAAAUAUUAUAAACAAUUAUAAUUUAUUUUUAUGAAAGUAAUAUUUUAUUUAUGUUAAAAAGUUGCAAGAGAAAUCAACAAAAAUAAUUUUUUAUUUAAAAUUAUGUGUAAUCAGGAUGGAGCGAGACAAAAUCAUACCCAAACCAUCACGAGUUUUUAAAAAGUUUUCAAACUCAAUCUCAAUUGGUUUAUCUUUAUCUCAGACCCUUCCCAUUAGGGGCGGGGAAGUACCUAAAAAAGGGCCCAUUGCCAUCCCUAAUUCGCCUCCAUUCUCAUCCUAUUUCCAUUUAUAUUCACACAUAUUAAAAGCACACUAAAUUCUAUACCAUUUUUUUAUUAUUAGAAGGAUUUAUCAUAGGCUUUUCCAGGUAAUAGAAAUUGUGAGUCAGUUCAAAGGAAUGCAUCCCUUGAUUCCCAAGCUACUAAGUAAUAGGAUUCAGAAAUUCAUGUCAUUGGAUUUCACUAGGAAACUUCGACUAAUUUUCUGUUCUAUUAUUUAAAUGCUAAAGAGAUAAGUUUUGAGACAUGACUCGGGUGGCAAGACGUAGACUAGAAGUGAGGAAAUUUCAAAUAAGAUCUAAUAAAAAAAAAAGUCUCAUGGUUGGGCCUCUGCGUCAUCAAAAACAGAAAAUCCCACCUAAUUUCAACUACUAGACAUUUCAAAAUUAAUUUCAAUCAUUAAAUAAGUAAAAAAAAAAAAAAAAACUUAUCAUAGAUUAACAAAAAAGAAUUGUAUUCAUGUUCUGCAUUCCUCCUAUUAUAGCAGAGCCCAUAUCAAUUGGGCUUUGAUUUUGUUUUGGGCCUAAAAGGGAGCCCAGUUUUAAAUCAACCCAGUCAAAGGGAGACUUAUGUAUGAAAUUUGGAAAUUGGAUUAUGAAAUUACGUAACAUAAUUUUUAUGAAUUGGAUCAAUUGAAUGAAUGUGAGUAAAGGGAUCCAUGGAUGAAGAUAGAAAAGUAGAUUUCUACUCGUAACUAAAUCUUCAAUUUUAAGUUUAUUUGUAUUUUGUAAAGGGGCGAUUGAAGCAAACUAGCUAAUAAAGGAUGUCUUUAGUUUACUAGAGACAUCGAAAUAUUGUUUUACCUUUAUGGAAACAAUAUGUUUUUCCUCAAGAUUCUCUCAAAUUGAAAUAGAGAACAAAGCAACCAGAAAGAUUCUUAUAAUCAUCCUGUUCUAGAGGGAUCAUCUAGAAAACCAAUCGUUUCGAAUAUAUUCAAGCAGAAAAAAUGACAUAGAUGUUAUGAAUCGAUUUUUUUUUUUUUCAUUUCAUUGAUGUCUUAAAUCUGGAAAUUUAUCCAUCCUCCAUAAAGGAGCCGAAUGAAACCAAAGUUUUAUAGAUGGGUCUAUGCGGUUAACUGAGGAAGGAACCUUUGAGUGCACGUGACAGAGUUUGUUUGGUGAUGGGCAAAUUAUACAAUUGAUUACGACAUUUGACAUUUGGGGUUUCCCGAAAUGGAUGCUAUCCAAUUGCACAAAUUGGAUAAUACACGGCUGAUGGGCGUUGCCGUUCCGCUCCACUCUUUCUUCUCCAUUCAAAGCCUAUCCAUAUGAUAAUUCAAUACAGGAACCGACCAACAACCCAAGCAUCAUGUCGGUAUCUUUGCUUCCAAGCAAAAUAAUUAUCAUCAGACAUAGCUUUACUUAAAUUUUUUAACCAAAAAAAAAAAAAAAAUUAUUGUAUGGUAGUUAAAAAAGGUUAACUUCUUUGGAUGAGCCAACAUUUAUAUCAUCUCUCACCAACUUUAAGUGAGCCAAGAGGCCCUUUUCCCAUGUGAGCUAUUAAUGAAAGGAAAAUGCUAUGGUACCACAAUGGUACCUCUCAUAGUGAUACCUAAGAAAUUAGGAAUUCCUUGUAUAUGAUAAGAUCAAAUAAUGAAAGGACGGAUGAAUAAAACUUUUUAUAAAGAUAUAAACAAAAAAAACCAAAGAUGUUUAUUAAAAUCAAGCCUCCACCUCGGGCGAAACCAUCCAACCUGAUGACUCAGAUAAGAAGAAAUAAAACAUGUCCGACAAAAAGUUAAACAUCACAAACCUAGAAUAAAGAGAAAACCUAUAAAAAGUAAAAAUCAUCUUCUUAGUACCCUUAAAAACCAUAAUGUAAUUGAUGAAAUUUAAAAACAUAUAAAUGAUUUGACAUAAUUGAUGGUAGAUUUUCGAUAAAUACUAAAAAAAGCAUAUUUCGAUACUACAAGUAUAUUAAGACAUUAACGAAAUAAUCAUCUUUUCCUCUUAUUUGUGGAUACCCAUCUUUUCAUUUCUCUGAUCUUAGAUGGGCAACCAUUCAUUUGCUAAGGAUUAGGUCCCUUUCAAGAUGGGAAAGCUCUUAUUUCACUCCUGGAAAAACACAUACUGGGAAUUCAAAGCAGCUUAAUUAUAGAAGGAAAAACAGCCUGUAAAGCCAAGCACUAGCAUAUAGUUGUUUUCAGAGGAAGAAAAGAGAGAGAGAGAGAGAGAGAAACAUGAUGGGUAUGUUCAAUUGAAACUGAACAAACAGAGACAACAAGAAGAAAGCAGAGAAAAGCCAAAUGCAAAAGCCUUGGUUUUUCAUAGCUCAGUGACUGACUCUACAAGGACACUUUCAAGAAUGGCGUGCUGAUGCCCAUCUGGUCUUCUACCCAACCUUGUGGUGAUUGAUGUGGAAUCCACCCACCAUUUUUGUUAAUAGAUGUCAUAAUUGUUUCUUUUCUGUUGGGUUUUUCAUCUUAAUUUACAAUGGUAAAUUUUUUUUUUUUCCCUCUAUGUAUACCAUUUUUCACUUUUAGGACAUAGGAUUCUUUGACAAGUACUUCCACAAAGGUUUGAGGUAUGUGAUUACUUUAACUCAUUGUGAUAGAUCCCAGCAUAUCUCAGUUUUGAUUGGUGUUUCUCUACCUAAGAGACAACAGCAGACAAGUCUUUUCCAUAUGGAACAGAUGAAAAUUUUCUUUUUCUCCAAACAGGUACGGUCUUUCUAUGUAGUAUUUUUCAAAGUAAUUUUUUAUUUUUAAAAAUAAAUUUUAUCCUAUACUGUAAUUGUUUUUCAUACUAAAAAGUAAAAACAGGUCUAAUAACUUUUCAGUAGAAGAUAGUUUUCUGAAAUUUUGUUUUGAAAGUAAGAUAUUUUCUAAGAAUGUGUUUUAAUUACUUUCCAUCUUUUUCACUUUUUUUUUUUAAUGCGUAAGGGGUAUUUUUAAAAAUAAUUAUACAAAUAUUAAGAGUAAUUGAAAAUGAAAUAUUAUGAAUAAAAAUUCUUUAAAAAAAAUAUUUGAAAACUCAAAAAAUUAAAUUAACAACAUUUCAAGUUUUUAAAUAAAUUUUUGUUUUAUAAAAUGUGAAAAAACUAUUUUUUGAAAUUGUUUUUAUUACAUGUUGCAUUUAAAACAUUGUCAAACAUUGUCAAACAUUGUAUGAAGUUUUGUCUAUAAGACAUUUUUUUUAUUAAUUUUUGUAAAAAAUAUCAAGUAUUCAAACUUUCGAUAAAAAAAAACCAAUUACGAUUUAGGUAAUUUUACUAGAUUUAUUUACUAUGCUCAACUUUUUCAUUAUAAUCCCUUAAUCUUUUAAAUAUUACCUUUUUUUAUAAACCAUUUAAGGGUAUGCUUGAUUCAAUAUAUUUUUUUAUUUGAUUUUAUUAUAAAUAAAAAAAAUAUAAAUGAAAUUAGAAUAAUAUAUAAAAAUAAUUUACUGUCUUUAAAAAAAAAUUCUUUUUUUUUUUUCUGCCCAAAAACAUAAUUUAGUAAAAGUUUUAGAAAGGGUUGCAAAUUGAGAAGGGUCAUUCUGUAAAGUAACGAAAAGGGGUUGGAGUGGCAUGUGGAGGAAUCAGUACCCAAAAAUUUAAAAAUAAAAAGAUAAAAAAAUAAAAAAUAAAAGUAGUAGAUCCAUAUGCGGGGCAAGUGGCGUAGUUGCAUGGCCCAUUCCCAAUAUAUUUGUCUCUUUCGCUUUGGACUCGAAUCUACGCACGCUCUCCAUUCACCCCACGCUCCUUUCCGGUUUCCGCCUCUAUUAAAUAAGAUGCUCCUCUUGGAAUAUUUUUUUCCAUUUUCUUUUUUUCUUUUUUUAUUCCCCUUUAAAAAAAUGGUGUGAUGUCAGCAAGUGUAUCCACGUCAUUUAAUUUUUUAAAAAUUUUAGUUUAAGUAGAUUGGAAUAUUUCCUUCAUUUUUUUUUACCUUGAAAUAUCUUUUACAAAAAUAUUUUGAAGUUUUAAUAGAAAAAUUAUAUGUAAUUAAGAUAGUAUGAUUAAUUUUUUUAAAUAAAAAAUCAACAAAAAGACUAAGACACGUGUGGAUGACAUCUUGUGAAUAACAUUCAAGGAAAUAAAUGGAGAAAAAAGAGAAGAAAAUCGUUUUUUUUCUUUCCUUUUUAACUUUAUUUUAUACUGAAAUUAAUAAUAAAAGUUUUAAAUUGUUAAUAAAUUAUUUAUGGGAAAAAUGUAAAGUAAAUAAAUUAUUUAGAUAUGAUUUUUUUUUAUAAAGAUUAAAUAAUAUAAUAUAUAUAAUUUUUUAACUUGAUUAUAAUUAGAUUUAAUUUUUUUAUUGAAACACCAAAGAUAAGGAAGAAAUGGAAUUCAAAUAGAAUUAAAUGUAUUUAUAAAUUAAACAAAUAUUAAAAGAAUAAAAAUAAUAAUAUUUUUAUAUAAAUAUAAUGAUUCAAUUAAAAUAUACUAUUUUUUAAAAUUGAUUAAAAAUUAAAGUAUAAAAAAGUUUUUAUUAACUAAAUUUUGAAAUAAGAUAAGUCUUUUAAAAAAAAAAUUCAAAAACCCUUUUUCUUUUAUUUAGGGUAAAAUCUUAAAAAAAAUCAUAUUGAAUUUCAAUCAUUGAAAAUUAAUUAAUUUAAUGAUUGAAAAAAUGGAAAAAAUGUAAAAUAUUAAUUUAAGUUUGAUGGACCAAAUGGAGGGUGGCUACCACGUCCUAUGAACCUUCCUUUAGUAAAUGGAAUUUUUGGUCUCAUCCUUGUCUUUUACAAGGAUGACGUGGAGAAAACUGAUUGGUGGUGGAGCAAAAAGCCCAAAGUUGCGGACCUCACAUGAUGAUCCCCUCGUGUGGACCGAAUCGCUGCGUUGUAUCGCAGAAGGGACGAGGACAAGCCGAACACGAAUCUCCACGACCAAAAGGCAUAAAUCAACGGUGAUUAGAUCGCAUCAUAUAAUAUAUGCAUCAACACAGAAACAUUCCCCAAAUGCCUCUCUCUUUCUCUCUCUAGUUUCUCUGUCUAUGAAUAUUCAGCAAACUUAACUCUUUAUCUUCCUUUUCCAUCCUCUCCUCCGUCGCUCUCUCUGGUUGCUCCAUCCUCUGUUUGGAGGACCUUGACCCACCUCCGCAGGCCCAGCUCAGGUCACUUCUCUCUCUGGAUUCUUUUAUUUCAUGGGUUUGUUUAUGUGUUGGUUUGAUUGGAUCUGAAACCCCCCUCGUUUGAUCUGUGUGUAUCAGGUGGCGUUGCCCAGAUCUUUGAUUUGUGGAGGAUGAUGAAGGGUUGUGCCAUGGAGCAGAGCAGUACGUACGCGGCCUGUGAGGAGAUGAUCAUGAUGAUGGGUUCCGUCUCCGUCGUUUGCCCCAAGCCUCGUCGCCUUGGCCUCUUCAACAACGACCACAUCCCACCCCGGAGAUGGCACAUGCAGUAUGUUUUCCUUUUUUUUUCUUUUGCCGAGAAAUUCUUUGUUUUCUCCGGAGAAAAUACCCUUUUAGUGAUUGGAUUAAUUAAUUUUAGUUUUUCUUGUUUGCCGAACACCAGUCAUGAUGAUUCCAAGGAUGGGUCGGAGCUUCUUGACAUCAUUCUCGCCAAGGUAUUGUUCUGUUCCACUUCUCUUUUGUGGGUUCCGUUCAACGAUGAUGUCUCUAUUCUCACUACGAUUCUUCUUCUCAUUACAGGGAUCCGAAAGAUCGGGCCACCAGGUGGCUUCAUCUCCACCAUAUUUUUGUGGGUCACCGCCGAGCAGAGCUUCGAAUCCCGUAAUCCAAGACGCCCAAUUCGGGAACGAAAAGGUCACACCCUUCUCUCGGGCGCCGUCACCAGCCCGCAAACCCGCUGGAGGAGGAGGGGGAGGAGGAGGAGGUGGGGCCGGUGGUGUGAGAAUGAUGAAAUUCGGAUCCAAGCCGGCGGCGGUGAGGAUUGAAGGGUUCGACUGCCUGGGCAGAGAUGGGCAAAGCCGCAGCAUAUCAGCCGUGGCAUAGGCCCCCCUGAAACCAAAGUUUUGGAAAAUGCAGAGGAACUAAUGGUAGAAAUUAUGUGUAUGUAUAUACAGUUGAAUUGAAUUGGUUUUGAAGACAUAUAUAUAUAAUAUAAAUAUUUAUAUAUAUAUUUGUGGAAUAUUGAGUUGAUGAAAGAGAGAGAGGAGUGUUAAUUUUGAAGAAUAAGGAGAUAGGGAGGAAAGGGAGAGACUAAGAGGUCUUUCCCUUACUAGGGUUUUGAUUGGAGUCUGGUGGAGAGAGAAAGAGCCUGCCCUCUGUCUCUUUCUCUGUCUUUGUUGUGUGUGUCUGUAAUUUUACUCACUCUGGUCCUUCAUUGUAAUUGUAAUUUGAGGUGAAGGGGGAAGGAGAAUGGAGAUGAAGCUGGGUCUUCUUGUAAUUUUGCUACUUUAUUCCGGGGUCUUUUGGACCUUAAAUAAUUCUGUAAAGAAGCACGUGCUGUGCCUAUUGUAAAUAUUUUAUAUAUUUAUUUUAUUUUGGUGGGUGUUAGGUUAUUAUGAAUUUGACUUUUAUUUUCAAAUAACAAAUUUGAUUUCGUGUCUUUGAAAAGUGGAGCAAAUAUGACAUCAUGGCAGAUUUGGGAAAUUAAAGAAAUUGAAUGAUAAAAAUAAUAUUAUUUGCAUGCCUCAGGGCAAAGCCGCCUCCUGUGGAGGUUAGACUUGGGACAGGGAGUGGAAGACAAAAUAAUUGGAAGGAUGAUGAAUUGUCCACUGUAGUGUCUACAGUAUACAGGUGGCCUUGAGUUGGACUUAAGCUUUAAAGAUGACAGCUGCUGAUCUCACCAACUCCCUACUUUUCGCGCUUGAAUUCUCUCUCAUUCUUCAUUGCUUCCUUCCUACCUCUCAUCCUCUGCCCCUGCUUUCUGCUUAGUUCUUUUCUUUAAAUUCAAGUCACCGCGGUUCGCUCUCUCUCUCUCUCUCUCUAUUUUCGCCUUUUCCCUAGAGCGUUUGGCUACGGCAAAAAAGACGUAUCCAUUGCAAUGAACGGCAUGGGCUCAGUCGUCUGGUGGGCAUGACUUUUCAAGAUUUUUAGUCAUAUCCACCAGCAGGCUGAACCCAUGUCGUGCUGCCCAUAGUGGGCUAGUUUGUAGGUGUUAAUGGGCUAGCCGCUAGCCUUGUUCUUAAACAGUAUAAAGACUUUGGGCUCAAGAAAAUCCGAUAGUGAAGGACAAAUUUGCAAACUUGUUCAUUGUAUGACAUGACAUCAUAGAUUUUCUCAGUUCUUGAAAUGACAACCAGACAGAUUAGAGUAAUUAACUGCAAAAAAUAAUUUUCUUAGCUCGUGAUCGGAUACAGUUCCUAUUUGUUAUUUUUAAAAAUAUAAAAUAGUUAUGUUUUUAAAAAAACACUUUUAACCUAAGUAGUGUUUUUAAAAAAUUACCAAUUGUUUGAGAAAAUUUAGAAAACAUUUUUAAAAUUUUAAAAAAUUACUUAUAAGGUUAAAAAUUACUUAUAAUGACUUUUUAAGAAACAUUUAAUAAAUUUUUUUUGUAAAAAUACUUCUAAAAAAGCACUUUCAUUAAAAAGUAAAAACAUUUCAAAUUGAGACAUUAUUAAAGGCAUUGUAAGAGUCUUUUUAAGAAAACACUUUUAGCUUAAAUAGUAUUUUUGAAAAAAAAAUUGUUUAGUCAAAUUUAAAAAAUAUUUUUAAAAUUUUGAAAAAUUAGUUAUAAUAUUAAAAAAUUAUUUAUAAUAUUUUUUUAAAAAAUACUUAAUAAAUAAUUUUCUUAAAAAUAUACUAAAAGAAUACACAUUUACUAAGAAUGUAUUUGACCGUGAUUUUAGAAAGUGUUAAUAAUCCUUUUAAUGUUUGAAAAAUAAAAAAAUUUAAAUAUUAAAAAAACUAAAAACAAUUCAUAAAAUCACUAUCAAAACGCACUCUAAAACCUUUUGAACAAAAUAAAGUACUUAAAAUUAAGCUUUUCAAGGUGUAGCCAACAAAGCACUUGUUCUAUCUUCUCAACACUUUUAUAAGGUCACGCCAUAUUAUGGUAUCAUUACUUUGUAUUAAACUUUCAUUUCAUCAUUUUGCAUUUUGAUCAAAUUCUUUUAUGUUUGAUCCUAUUUAGUUACGGGUAAACUAAAAAGCCUUACAAAUUGAAAGUUUUGAAUUUCCACUAACAAAUAACAAUCAAUCUCUUUUUUUUAGGCUAUGUUUAAUUAUCAUAAAAUUUGAGCGCAAAUGUGAGACAAAGAAAAUAGAGAGGAAAAAUUGAACGAAAUAAAAAGUGAAGAAAAAAAAAAUAGAUUUAAAGUUAAAAAUUAUUUUUAUAUAUUGCUUUAAAUUUAUUUCAUUUAUUUUCCUUUAUUAUAUAAAUAUUAAAUAAAUUUAAAAUGCAUGAAUUUUAACUAAUUUUAAUUCUAAUUAAUUUUCUUUCACCAUUUUCUAUAAUGAUGAGAAAAUAAUUUUUGUUAGCAUUUUUUCUUUCCUUAAUACUUUCUUGAAACCAAACAUAACCUUAAGGCUAUAUCAAAGUUAAGUCCAUAAAUUUUUUUAUAAUUAUAAAAGAAUAAUGAUAUCUUUAAACAUACUUGAUUACUUUAUUGGAUUCAUUUUCUACCCUCCAUGAUAUAUAGAAAUUUCUAUUAAAAACUUUCAAAAUUUUUUAUACAAAAGAAGCAAAUGUGUAUGUCUAUUGGGAAGUGAGACCGAAAAGGGUCUAUUUAUUGUUGAUGAGCCCUUUGCUUAUAAGUGUAGUAGUUUACAGAGUGUUUGGUAAUGAUUUUGGGAAGUAUUUGUGGGAUCUUUAAUAUUUAAAAAAUAAAAAAUUUAAAGUGUUAAGAAGACUAAAAAUACUUCCUAAAAUCACUAUCAAACACACUUUAAUCUCCUAAAUGUUGCUUUUUAAUUGUUAAAUCCUCUUUUUGAUUGUUGAAAAGCAUGCAAACCAUGAAACAAGGAUUUGGGGUUAGAAAUUUGUUUUUGAAAAUAAUUUUUUGAGAAUUAAGAACAUAAAAUAAUUUUUUAAUUCAAAAAACAUGUUUAUUAAUUUUUAAAAAAAAAUUAUUAUGAAAACAAAUUAUUCUUUAGAAUAAAGUAGCUGGUUUUUUCUUCUGUUUUUUUUGUCAUAUUUGAAUUUUCUUACAAAAAUUUAUUUUAAAAAAUAUAUAUUUUUUGAGAAUUAUUAUUUUUUAAAUGUUUCUACACAAUUUGUAGGAAGUGAAUUUUACCAAUUUUCAUUAUAUUUUGGGAUUGAAGCAUAUGAGGUUGGAUGGAAUAUGACCUAGAACAGCCAGUUAGCUAAGCUUUUAUGAUUGAUUCGACAUCCAUUCUUUGAUUCUAUCCUAGUCUCUCAAAGCAAAUUUUGGUCAUUAUAAGGCUGGAUUGUAUGUGGUUGAGCUUUUUCUAUAGGCUUUCCAUACUUAUCCACUACCACAUUCUAAAGGGAGCAGUUGUGUUUGAUUGGGAUGCAAUCCAUUCAUUAUUACAAGAGACUUGUUAUUGGGAUUUAUAACUUAUACCCACACUUUCAUCAUUGAUAUAGUAAUAAUAUGGUGAGUGAUGUUGGUGAUAGGAAGAUCCAAGUGAUUAAGAGCCCGUUCAGUGAUUUUAAAAAAUGUUUUCAAAUUUUUUAACUUUUUAAAAUUUGUAUUGUUUAAAUGUUAAAAAGGUAAAAAAUAUUUUCUAAAAUUACUACCAAACACACUUUAAAAGCCUAUUUGAAAGUGAUUUUAGGAAAUAUUUUUAAAGCACAUUUUGACGGUAAUUCUAAAAAGUGUUUCUACUAUUUUUAAUACUUACAAAUUUUUAUUUUUCAAGUAUUAUAAAGAUUAGAAACACUUCCAAAAAUCAUUAACAAACUUACUCUUAAUUUUUUUAACACUUUAAAUUUUUUAUUAUUUAAGUAUUAGAAAUAUUAAAAACGUUUCCUAAAAUCACUCUCAAACGCACUCUAAAAAAUAAUUAUAUUUAUAAAUCAAAAUGCAAUUUAUUUCAUACGGAAUCAAAUAUUCCACGAGAAUACAUACCACAUUGGCAUUAAGAACCCGUUGUACAAUCUGUUAUUUUAAAAACAAUUUUUUAUGAUUUAAAAAAAAAAAAGGUUCAACAAUCAAAAAAUACAAAAUAAUUUUUUUCUUCUUAAAAAUAAAUAACAUGGUAUUUUUAGAAAACAUUUUUUUAAUUAUUUUAAUUUGUUUUCUAAAAAUAAUUUUUAAAAGUAAUUAUAUAAAUAUAAAAAAUGAUUAAAAAUAAAAUACUACAUGUUAAAAACAUUACAACUUUCCAAACAAAUUUUUAUUAUAUAAAACAUUAAAGAAUAUUGUUUAGUGUUUAAAAAGUCCUUGAAAACUAUUUUUCAAAAUUAUUAUCGAAAACACUUUUCAAAUAUAAUUUUAAUUUUAUUUUAUAAGGGAUGUGAUUAAACAAGGAAUUAAAAAAGACUUCAAAAUUCAACAAAUAUGAUCAUAAAAAAACCUAUGCCUAAAUCCGAGUUUGAUUUGUGCUUGAACUUGGUGAAUAUCAAAGACCUUGAAUAACCCUUUGAGGGCAUCUACGGUGAUCAAAGAAAGAUUAGAUUCUAUUUGAAAAUUGUUUUAGAAAAUCGUUUGGAAAAAUAGUGUUUUAUAACUGUUUUUAAAAAUUAUUUUUUGAUAUUUUGUAAAAUAAAUAUCUAUUUAAAAAUUAAUUUGAAAUAUUUUUAUAUUAUUUUAUAUGUUUUAAAAAUAAUUUUUAUAUACAAUAUUUUAUUUUUAAUCAUUCCUGAAUAAUUAUUUUUUAAAACUAGUUUUAAAAAACAAACGAAAACCAGAAAAUAAUUGUUACCACAGCUAGGCAAUUGCGAAGAAUUACAGCACCAAACCAGGAAAGGAAGCCGGUCCCUGACGUUAUGUUGAGGGUAGCUGUGCGGCUUGUGUCUCACCAAACUUUUGCCUUUGACCUUCAGGCACUUGCCAACGCUCUUGUGAUUGCCAUGGACCCGAGCAAGUUGUGCUGGCUGAUGGGUUCCUUUCUAUGCUCCUUUUCUUGGCUUUGGCAUUGUAAAUAUUGGUCAUGUGACAAGAAACUUCCCUGAUAUUUUAAUGCUAUCUGAACUUAUCCAACACUCAACCAUAUAGCAUUUGCUUGAAGCCUUUCACAAUUUCGUGUGAAAAAAAAAAAGUUUAUUUAUAAAAUUUAAGGAAGGAAAAUAAGUUAAAUCAGUAAUCAUUCUUACCUUGAGGUUUUGACUAAAUAUAUCUGAUACUUAUUGAUUUGAAAUUUCGUUAAACACGUGUUUUUUUCGUUAUUUUUAUUUAUUAUUUUCAUAACUCUUAUUAAAAUAUAGGAUAUUUGAUGAAAUUUUAAAUUAAUACAAAUCAUGCAUAUUUAACGAGAACUUGAAAAGAGGCGAGUGAAAUUAACCCUUUAUAUAAUAUAUGUUGUCGGAAAAAAAAAAUCAUAGAAUGAAUUCAUUGACAUCAUGGGAAUUCAUUGUUAAAUUGGAAGAAAUAUCUUGAAAUUGGGUUUUCAUUGAAAUGGAGGAAAGAGUAUCAUUAGCCUCUUUGACAAAGGCUAGCUAAUUGGGUUUUCAUUGUAUGUCAAAGUUAUGUACAACCUACUACUACAAAAAAGAAACCCAUCAUCAAAGAAAUAAAUUAAAACAGGAUUGAAUAUAGAGGUGCGAAAUUGAUCAAUAUUAUUUAAUGGUCCCACAUGAAAAUAGCCUUUCCAGCAAGUCCAUUCAAUUUUCACAAGACAUCCAACCAUAUCCUCAAGGAUGACCUCCCACCACACAAUCCUUGUACCACCUUAUCUCAUAUAUAGAUAGGAAUGAUCAACACUUACAGAAGUAUAUAUUAAGCAAGCAUGAACAGUAAGUAAAUAUAAAGCUGAAAGCAAAGAGCAUAGGUAUUAUUAAAAGUGGUGGCGUUUACAUGGCCACCAACGAUUAAAACAUCCGACGAUGAUGAUACACCAUAUCCUCAUACAAUAUUCCAUUGCAUUACUCCAUCGGAGACUUCGAAUAAGCAAAGAAAAAACAAAAAACAGACACAAAAAAUAAAAUUCCACAAGGGUCCUAAACAUGAGAGUGAAAAAACAUGGACAUCAAAUAUUGCGGAAACAGGAUCAGCUGGGCUUGUAGGCAAUGAAAGCGAUGCAUUGCACUUGGCGGUUAUUGUCGAAUCCGAUGAUUCGGAUGUGGGCGUCAGGGUACGCGGUCCUGGCUUCUUGCACCUCCUUAAUCACCUGGGCUGAGUCAGUGCACCCGAACAUGGGCAGCUUCCACAUGGUCCAGUACCUUCCGUCGUAGUAUCCUGGCGAUCUGUUGUGCUCUCUGUGGGGGUAUGGGUACUGCAUUCACAUACAAAAUAAUAAUCCAAUUAUUCUACAAAUUAAACCUCUAUAAUCCUAGUUUAAAAGCUUCACAGAAAAGUUCAUGAAAAUAACCAGCUUGGUGAAUUCCAAGCAAGGAAUCCAUUUCAUGCGGAGAAGGUAAUCCACUUCCUUGCAUAGCUGUUCGUCGUUGAGGGGUGGGAGGUAUGAGAGAGUCUCGAACUUCAUCAACCCUUCUGUAGGCCAAACCUGUGGUUUUCACAUGUACAAUAUCCACAGUUUAAUUCAUCAUAUAUAAAAAAAUAAAAAAUAAAAAAAACCCAGACUACUAAUGUCUUCUAAUUGAAGUGAAGUUGUGACUUGUGAGGCAGGGUGGUGGCAGUACCUUCAUGCAGCGAACUCGGCCACCAUUGCUAGCGACGGAGGUGAUGUCGGUGUUGGCUUUUCGGGUGCCAGGGAAAGUCGACAAAGAUUUGAGUCCGGUGAAGGGGGCCACCAUGUUGGCCUGAGCCGGGGUAGCACGGUUGAUUGUAGCCACGGUGGCGGAGGAGACCAUGGAGGAAGCCAUUUUCGCCUUUUGGGUUUUGCUAACACCACCACUGCCUUGUGAGUUAUGGCUCCUGCUUACCCCAUCCUAUAUAUAAUCCUCCGAGCUUUACUCUCUUCUCUAACUGGCCUCACAUUUGCAUCCAAGGGCUGAGGGUCGAGGGGUCUGGGGUUGGAGGCCUUUGGGCCGUUGGAUGAUACCAGGGGAUGACAUGAAAAUUUCGAUGGCCACAUAUCAGAAUUGGAUGGGUGCCUUAUCGUUAUGGCACCCCUCUCGGAGUGUCGACACGUGUCGACACCUCAUUAACCUUAUCUAACGUUGUGAAGAAGGUGAUUGUGUGAUGUUUUCUGGCCCUUCGUUUCUGGGGUGACUGCCGCUCUUCGCCCAUGGAUAUUUGGAGUUUUGUUCAAUUACCUAAUUGCCCAUCUGGGAUUUUUUUUCAAAUAUUAUUUUUUUAUUAUUAUUAUCAUGUUUUUUUUAAGUGAUGCGAUGAGGUAUGGAGGUACCAUGAUAAGUAAUGGUGUGACUGCAAGCCAUCAGAUCAGAGGGUCCCCCACUUGGAAUAUUGCUCCAAUUCUACGACUAGGUGACUAACACUCAGCAGCCCUUUAAGCGGAGGAAGAAAUGUGACAGUUUCUAUAAGUGGAGGAAGUCUGAAUUCUGAAAGGCAUCGAUAAGGCCUUAAAACGUAUCUAUUGAAGGCAUAAAUCACUAUGUUCUCUUUUGGCUUACCCCAAAAAAAAACACACAUUCCCUGAUUCAUGUAUUCUUACUUCUCAAAGUCCUCAUUUUGGACUAUUUUACAGGCUUUCUUCCUAGAAUUUCAAAUUCAAAUUCAAAUUCAAAUUCAAGAUCAUAAAGAAGCCUCCACCACUCAAGGUUUAUCUUCUCUCCUAAAGGGAGAUGAUAUUUUGCCAUACAAAGGUUUCAGGACCUCCAAAAGAAAACGGUACUAAUUUUGUGUAAUUUCAGUAUGCUUAUGAGUUACGACUCAACUCAAGUCCCGGUUGGUGAGCAUCACUUCUAAAAAUGUAGUGUUGGGUCAAUUUGUUAGGUGGACCAUCACUUCUCCACAGAAACUUCUAGCUCUUCUCUGCACUUGUGGCCUCUAUUCUUUCAUAUAAGAUGUAAAUAUUCUCACUAAAUAAACCCAAAAGAAAAAAGAGAGAAAAAAGAUUGGUGGAGGUUGUUUUGGAGGAGGGAUCCCUGUGAUCCACAUGUAACAAUCAAGGUUUCCAUUCAAGUUGAUGGAUAGGCCUGUGUGCUAUAACAAAAUCUUGUGCAACUCCACCACAAAUUCUCCAAAUCAAAUCCCACUGUCAAGCCAAGCAACAUGCUCCAGAAAGCGAAUUCUGAAACCUUUUCUAGAUCAGUGACAACAGAUGUGUUUGUGUUUCUUGUUUCAAUGGAGAAGCCAAAGCCUCUUUAAGACGUAUUAGUGCUGUGACAGGAAAAAUAAACUCAUGUUUUGAUCUUGUAGAAGAGAUUGAAAAUGCAUGAUGUAUUGUUUAUAAUGCUGGUGUAAAUAAUGAAACUGUUAGAAAGGGAUUGUAGGGAAAUUGCUUGUGUUGAAGAUGAUCCUUUGAAAUCAUAGUUUCUGCCUUACCUUCAGCUUCAGGCUAAACCCACAGGCAAAAAUGGCAAGAGGAACCUUCUAACACUCAUUUUCUCCCAUCUGCAUUGGGAGGGUAAUACCAAAAACUAAUUUAUGCGGAUUAAGACUGAUUGCGAGAGGAAUAUGACAUUCAACAGGGAAUACAAAAAUCAUAAACUGAAAAGUUUGUUUAUUAAAUCCAAUUAAAUAUGACAUUGCCCACCACGAAAAGCAGUGGAAUACGAAGAAUGACUUCCAAUAGAGGAGCUUCUGUACAGUUAUAAGCAGGAAAAAAAGAAAGAAAAGAGAAAAGAAUUACAUGGAAGUAGUGAAGUACAAACUGCAUAACCAGGAAAAAAUAUGCAACUGACUUCCUUCUAAUUUACUGCCAUCGCCUAGGAGGCUUGGUGAAAGUAGAGCUUCCAGUGCCACUGAUAGUAGCACUUCUUCUCAUUCCUGAGAAGAGCAGUUACAGGGAAAGAUAAGAGAUUGAAGGAAUAUUAUUAGCAAGUAGCAAUUGAUCCCAAAAACUCUAAUAUUUUACAUACCUGUUGCCGCCUUUGGAGAAUCCUUAAGAUGUGAUGGUGGAGGAGAUGAAGUUCGCAAUGUUCUUUGCGGUGGUCUUGUUAUUCUAGAGGCUGGUUUAGACCUGUACAAAAUAAUUUUAGUUCAGGUUUUGGACUUGGAUUCAAUUCCAUCAGUAUACAAGUCCAUAUCAAAAAGCCCCAAAAGUAAUCUCUACAUAUAGACAAAAUCAAGCAACAAAAUGCAGUAGGCUGCUGCUUUGGACUAGCUCAUUACAAGAACAGAAAAUUAUUUCACCCAAGUCAGGGGUAAAGAAUGGUUUGAUAUCUCAUGAUGGGAGAAUUAGUACCCACAUUGGUCAAGGUCCCAAGUUGAAGGGAGACAUAAAAUGGAUAUUACCACAGCAAAUUAUCAACACAACCAUUACUUUCCAAAAAAAGAUUUUGCAUAAAUAAAAUGAAUUAAAUGUAGUAGCAGACCAACUGAUAGAGCAUUCAGUUUUUUAAUAAUGAAGAAAAUUAAAACAGAAAAUUCAAGCUCUCUUUUGCAAUUUUCAUAUGUUUUACUCACAGAUGAAUCUUUGUAUCAACACCCAAAGACUGAAGUAAAGAAGAAAAAUACUCACUUCUCUGUGGUCUCUGAUGCUUUAGAUUGAGCAGGGCCAUUAUUUUCUGUUCGCAUAGGAAAACCACCAUCAGAUGUAUCACUUGAUCUCUCGUCACAAUCUGUCUCCCCAAAUCCUAAGGUCGAAGCAUCUGCAGGAUUAUUCUGACCUAUGUCCCCACCGGCAAGCUUUGAUUUCCGAAGGGAUUCAUUUGGUUGUUUAAAGUCUUCCAUGGACUGCUGGGAAUCAGCAUCAGAAUGCUUAUCACUGUAUUCUGAACUGUUGUCCUGAUCAGAAGCUGCUCUCUCAGCUGGUCCUAAGCCUUUCCCACCUGGUAGUUUCUGGCUUAGUUGAGCAGUCCCACCCACGAAAUUCCUGCUUGGUGGGGAAGAUCCAUACUUAAACGAACCUGUAACACUUCUCUCACAGUUGAGACCAGGAUGUACAUUUUUGAGAUCUUUAAGUAGUUGCAACCGUUCGAUCUCCUCAUCUUUUUUGGCAAUUGUGUCUUUGAGAGAUGCCACCUGCAGGAUCAAUAAGGUAUUUAGAAAACAAGGAACUACCAGUGCCUUGAAAGAUGAUUACUAGUUUUGAUGUUUAACUAAAAUUGAAAUGAGUAAACAAGCAGGUAUAUUCGGUAUGAAAAGACCUAGAUGGAAAUCAGAUGAUAGAAAAUCCACCUUUUCACAUGUGCACAUAUAUCAGUAAUCAAUCAAAAAGGAGUUCUAAUGUAUAUAAACAAAAGAACAGGGUACAGUGUAUUGCAAGAGCACAGUACAGGGCGUUCAAGACCGUCUUUGAAUGCACCUCAAUAUGAUCACUAGACUCCAAAGCUCAAGAAAAAUGGUGUCCCUCCUCUUAAGCAUAUAGCUCCAGUUAAGUGAUAAAUAGAAAAAUGCAAAAAGCACAUACCUCUCCCAAGUGUUUUCAAAUAUCUCUUUCUUUUCAUCUCCAAGUGUUCCUAUAUUCCUUCUUGUUUUGUGUAUGUACCAUGUAUACACAUAAAGAUAUAUUUGUGUAUUCUGUUUUCAAAACCAAAAGCCAAAAACAUUAUCCCCUCAUUUCCUUAUAGCAAAGGGUCAAUAAUCUCGAACUUAUUUUUUCACCUUCUAAAACAUUGGUGUGGAGGUGACAAAAGCAGGGUCCACAAGGACUCAUUUGUAAAGCAAAUCAAUUAUCUAUGACAAUUUUCCUCCUAGUAAAUUGUUGUUGAACAUAUGAAAGCAGUAGCCCCUAGAAAUCAACUGAUAUUUUAUGUAACCAUGUGACCCGACAACUAGAGGAGUAAGAUCUCAUACAUCCUCAGCAAUUAUUUUGAGAUGAAUGUCUGGAAUUAAAACACAGUCCCUAUUCUGAACGUAAGCUGAAUUGGAUAAUAACUGAAAGAUUGAUUGAUCGCUCUGCAAGUUAAGAAAGAGCAAGGGAAAAGGAAAACAAAAAAAAGAAAAAAAAGAUCUUGAGGUCCACUGAGAAAUUAGACCUACUCAACUACUUGAGUAAACCUUAUAUAUUUCUAUAGUGCUUGCAAUACGUCUUGAAAAGCAUAAAAUUCUAUUUAGCACCAUGGCUAGUAAAUAUUCAACAAACUGCUACUUAAAUGAAUAUGAGAACCUGAUCCAUUAAUUCCUUAACGUCCCUGCCCUCUUUGCUACUCCGUGCAGCACCUAGCUCGACUCCAGAAACCCUCUCAGCAAAUUUCAAAGUACUUGCAGUUUCAGAAAAUGAAUUCACAUCAGGAUUAAGCUGCACAAACAUAAGAGUCUUUGCUUGACCACCUGUAGUUUAUAAAGUAGAAAAUAAAAAUCCGCUAUAUGAAGUUCAAAAAGAGGACUAUUGGGAGCUAAGGAAAUAAUUUAGAGUCCUGACGAAACAAUAAGACAGGUGAAGGGAUUUAUUGCUAAAAGCAACUGGAAAACAGUGAAGUACCAAGAGAACUCUGAAGGACUUGAGUAAGCUUGCUGUUUCUGUAUGGUACAUGAGAGCUCUUCUGGGCAAGAGCAAAGAUAACAUCUCCAAGGGCAGAUAGCGAUUUGUUUAUAUGUUGUGCUUCCCUAAGUCUCUCUCCAGUUACCUCAGAGCGAUCUACCCUUUCACUUCCUGCAAGAUCCACCAAGUGAAGACUGCCACGCAAAGAAGCACCAGUCUUCAAAUCCGUCCCCCAAGCAUGAAUAGUUACAAUACUGCAAUAACACAUCUAAGUGAAGAUCAUAACAUGUAGAACAUAUACAGUCUGAAGAUGGUAAUAUCUAAAAAUGAAAUGACAACCUGUGGGAGCGGCUACUUCUUUCAUUCAUAGCAGUGGCACCUACAGAUCUAUUCUUUUGUCCAAUGUCCAUUAAUUCCAUUACAUCUGAGGUUGAUUUGACUGGGAGCAUGGUAGCAUCAGGAACAGCUAACCCAUGGGGCUGAGAGGUAGUCAAAAUCCCAAGUGUGUGCAAAUUAAGGAAAACAAAGGAUUUCAUGCCAAAACACAUGAAAACUAUUUUUCACUUAAUCAAACCCAAGAAGAAAAAGGCCAAGAUGCAGAAUUAACAAAGAUUUCAAAGAGAAUUAUACCACACCAGACAGAUAAAUCUGGAAAAAUCUAGAAAUGUAACUGGAAGAUUAUAGAGAAAUGUUUUAUGACAGUUAUCUGUCAGACAAAAACUAGUCAAUGGAUUAGGCAGAACAACUCAAAGCGAAAACAGAAGAUGAAAAUGAAUAGAGAAGGAUAUCCUUUUUACAUCUUUAUGCCAAAGAAUGAAAAUGAAUAGAGAAGGAUAUUUUUUUUGAGAACUAUCACUUGAUAGUAAAUCACGCACUUGUUCAUUGUAUAUUUCAACCAUUUGAACUCCAAUUUCAUACAUAAAUGAGCUUCUCCUGCUUUGAGUGAUCUCAAAGAGGUCACUUAGUGCACGAUAAUUGACACCCCAUUCCUCCUUGGAUGCUGCAUUGGGGCCAGUCUAGAGGAAAGACAAUACAUUACACAAGUUUUUAUUGAAAAUAUCAACACAUAUGCCAUGUAGACUAAAACAUAUACAAGUUCAUACCAUUGUGUAUGUCUUGCCCGAACCAGUUUGACCAUAAGCAAAUAUACAUACAUUAUAGCCAUCAAGAACAGAUCGUACCAAGGGUUGAGUGUCAGAAAACACCUCAGCUACAAACAUUUUCCAAGCAUAAUAUGAGUCAAGCAUUAUAAUGAUUUCUUGAAAGAGAUCUAUUCAAGGAUCCAAAUUAUAAAAUAUAAGGAUGAAAAACCUUGAGUAGCAGCUGGGCCAUAGACCUUAUUGAAUUUGAACAACCGAUGACUGUCUUUUCCUUGUUUUGAGGGAUUCACAAUACCGAGCUCCCCAUCUUCACCAAUAUAUUCUAUGGUUGUCUGCUUUCCAUUCUGCCCACGGAGAAAUGGCCUUAUCCGGCAAUACACCCUAAUGUUUCCUAUCCAAGAAAUACAUGCAUCAGCCAAAAGAUGCAUUCAUAUAAAACUAGUCGUGAUUCCAACAGAGUUAAAUUGGGCAUGGAACCUUUUAAAUCUUGAACCUCAUUAUAAAGUCUCCUAUUUUCAGCAAGAACUGCAUGAUAGUUUUCAGAGGCAUCUACUAAUGCUUUUAGCUUUACUCCUGAACAACAGAAAAAUCGAUCUAUGAGAACAUGCUACAUAAAUUUAUAUAGAAUCAGGAGAACUUUGUAGUAACCAACCUCACCUAAGCAUUUAAAAUCCUCUGAAUAGCUCUUCUGUGUUUCCAAUACUUCUUUCUUGAUGGACUCGGAAGUGGACCUCAAUCCCUGAUUGUUUAUUCAAAGUUCCAGUAUAAAACAUGAGCAUUAAAUAGUAUAGUUUGAAAGGUCAAGAUCAAUUUGGUUAAAGCGGACCUGCAAGGCACUGAAUAGAAAAUUCACAAGUCUCAGGUAGCUUUGCUCUUUCUUAUCCCACCUUUGGCCUUCUAACCCAGAAUAAGCCUCAAGUUUAUUUAUCUUAUUCCUUGAAUCGGCUAGGAGCUGCUCAAGUUCCCUUGACCUCUUCUCAAACUCUGCUUUAUCUCCCAUACCUUGCUUUUCCAUUUCUGAGAAAUGUUCUUCAUAUGUCUUCCUGGCUAUUUCCAGUUCUUGCUUCAGAGCAGUAAUUUCGAUAUUAUUUUGAUCCUUCUCUUUGUUGGCUAUUUCAAGUUCUUGCUUCAAAGCUGAAAUUUCAAUGCCACUUUGAUCCUUCUUCUUCUUGGCCAUUUCCAGUUCUUGCCUCAGAACCAAAAUUUUAGAAUCAUUUGGAUCCUUCUCUUUCUUCCUUGCUAUUUCCAGUUCUUGCUUUAAAGCUGAAAGUUCCAGAUGGUAUUGCUCCUUCUCUUUCUUCCGGGCCAUUUCCAUUUCUUGCUUCAGAGAAGAAAUUUCAAGAUUUGUGUCAUCCUUCUCUUUUAUCAGUCUAGCCAUAUCCUCCUCAAGCUUCUUCUUGUCUUCCACAUUGGCCUUUUUAGUCUGAAAUAAAAAGAAAUAAAAUUAAAGACUUCAAAGGUAUCCAUACAACCAAGAAAGCAAUAUUAUUUUUUCUCAGGCAAACAAAAUAUGCACCAUGUCAUCUCAAGCAACUGAUCAACAAUUGCAGCAAAUUAAGAAUAGAAUCAAUUGUGAAUACGCCUUCCACUUCCAUCAUGAAAGGAGAAAUUUGAUAUAUCAGUGGGCAGUCAAACCUCACUAUUUCCAUCCUCAUCUUUAACAUCAUUUAACUUUUGAUUCUUAAUGAACACAAAUCAAGGAUAUCAAACAUAUUAAAGUGGUUGAAAAUUGUGAAAAGAAACACCAGAAUCCAGUAAAUGAAGGAAGAAGCAUUGAGGGAAGGAGAGGAUACCACAGGACUCAAGAUUUUUUUUUUUUUUAUAACCGAAGAACCUUCCAUGGCUAAGCCCUUAGGACUCUCCAUGGGAACUCAAACCUCGGGGUGCUAACCACCCCACAACAACCAGCACCGGGUAAAUUCAGAGUAUCAUCCAUAGUAGGAUUCAAACCCAGGACCAUGUGCAACUUACUAGGACCACACUUCCCAAUGUUCGCCCUAACCAACUAGGCUAUCCUGGCAGGGACCAUAGGACUCACAUAUCUGGCUGCACAUGUUUUCAUGUAAUGUUAACUAAAAUUUUACUAAAUCUUAGACUACCUAAAAGUUGUUUUAUGAAUCCUUUGUUUUAGGUGCAACAAAUUGAACAAUUAUGGGAAGCAAAAAGCAAAAAAUACACAUCGGUAUAUUUUGGAACAGAGAAUAGUCCCUAAAGGAUAUCAGAUACAGGAUGUUUGAAGUAAAAGAUGAAUAACAUAAAAGAGACUUUCUAAUAUCUCAAUUAAGAAAAAUGCUCACAGAUUAUAGCCAUACCUUUAUCUGCUGGAGAUGAUUCAAUACAAUCUGCAGCAAAUAAUUUCAUUUGGUGAAUCCAGUAGUUGUACCAAAUAAACAAAAAGGCAAACCUGACAAUUUAGAAUCUUUCAAUACAACAUAUUUGAAGUACCUGGUUUUCAUCAUUAGUCCCAGUUGCAAGGGUUUCAAGUACUCUGAUUCUCGACUGGUAUUUCUCUUCCCGAGACUUAAAGAGAUUGUUUUGCUGCAGGCACAAACCAAUAGAAAAGAAUUGAUAUGGACUAGACAAUAAAAACCAAUAAAAGAAACAAAGUAAGUAUAUUACAGUUCUUAAGUGUUCUGCUUGAGUUGAUAUUCGCCGCUCAAUUUCCUGCACAACUUUUCUCAAUAGACAUGCCACACGCUGAGGAAAAAAAAACAAAAAAUAAAAAGCAUCCUCAGAUAAGUUUUUUAGCAUUAAAAAUGCAUUUAUAUUAUCAAUAUAUAUAUAUAUAUAUAUAUAUGCCUUAAUUUAACACCAGUUGCCCUCUCAUUGCCAUACGUGAGGUAUCUCUUCAUUCUUCCUUUCAACGCUUUCAUCUAGAAUUCCAUUCACAACACUCAAAAGUGACUGAGUUGGGGCAUUCUGCAAAAAUGAGAUGCUUGAAUGCAUUAAAGAAGCAUAAAACUGAAAAGACCACCUAAAAAAUCCUAAAUCUUGCCCAAUUAUGUCCAUUGACAACAUAAGGUGCCAUAUGACUUACAUCUAAACUGUUAGAUUUCAUCAUUUCUGUAAGCUUAGCAGCAGGAAUAUCCGCAUAGCGUCCUUGUUUCAGUUGAAACACCUCAUGGAACUUGUGUCCCACAUGAUAUAUUAAUGCAGCUGAUGGCUCUACAAAAAGGGGAAAAAGUAAGAUAACAACACUACGUCCAAAUAAAAUUAUCAUUAUUGAAGAGCAUCUGCUAGUUUUGUGUUGUUAGAAUACAAAAAAACUAUCCACUGUCUCAAUAUAGCAGAUCUCACUUCACAACUUCACUAUGGAUAAAAGCUGUUAUCAUAUAUUCAUAUGGCUGCAUUAGAACAGACAAGCACAUAGAGGAAUAGAGUACAAAAAAACCAUACCAGACUUGACAGGACUACGCAAAGCACGUUGAAAUUUGGAUUCUGAAAAACUCUUUUGCCUGUCUUCUCCACAUGGUGUAGGCCCACGCGAAGGAUCAUCCACUUGAGGACCAAUGUUUCCAGAUUUAGAAAAUGAACUACUGAAUGGAAAAUUAUUUCCACAUACAGUUGGUAUAGUGUGUGCUUUAAGUGUUAAAAUGCACUCCAAAACAGUCUUCAUAGAUCCCUGCAACAUAAAAUCAACAUUAUGAUAAAUGCCGAGAGCUCUGGUGAUGCUAAGAAAACAUAUACUCAAAUUCAUUUGAGCAAAUUAAUCAAAAAAAAAUUUGAAAUUCACUACUUCAACUUUGAGAUGUUUGCAAAUUGCUAAGAAAAUAAAUGUAAAUAAACCUACAAUGACUUCAGUGGGAGUACUACUAGUUUGUGUACAUAAUGGAUAGUAAUUCUUAUAAACAAUUGAUAGUAGGUCAUGAAAACAAUUGAUACCUUUUCCAGGUCUGCAAUUUCAAACCCGGGCAUCCCUAAUGCGUCCAAAGCCUCCAGAAACUUUUUAACAUUUUCAUAGCGCAUCCCAGAAGAAUGAUCAUAAUCACGCACCUAAAGUAAAAAAAAAAUGCACAUCAAAACAACAAUUCUAACAUCCAGAGAUGAAAUUCAACACUAACUGCAUCUAAAUGAACAAACCUCACUCACAGAACCAGGUCUCAGUCUGUUCAAAAACCGACAUAAAACAGCACCAUCAAUCAAGCAGGCCCUCAAUUCCUCUACUGAAGCUUUUACUGGCAAAUUUAAAUUAGGAAGCAUGGAAUUUAACCACUCCGCCACAAUGGCUCGCUUCUUGUCUGCAUAAAAGGGAAUGAAAUAAAUACAAAGUUCAGUAAAUUAAGAUGGGAAAAACAAAGGAAGAGAGGAGCAAAAUCACCCUUUCUUCACCUUUAUCAUCAGCAUUAUGAGUUGCCAUUGGUUCAAAAACAUCCCCAUUACCAGAUACUCUGAAACUGCCAAUUCCCCCAUAUUUCUUUGCGUUGUAAUCCAAUGUAGAGUCCAUGAUGAAAUACAAGGGAAGACAUCUAGCUUCAAAGCUCAAAACCUCAAACUACGAAAAAUAAGAAAAAAACCCCCCAGAUUGUUUCAAUAAAAUCCAAAGAAAUCAUUUGCAGGAAGAAGGGAACAAAAAGUUUAUUUAUCUCCAGACUUCCCCAGAAAUGCAACAAUCCUGAAAAGUUAUUAAAAAAAAAAUGUAAUCAUCACCACAACUUUAUUUCACAUUCCCUCAUCAACUCAAUACAUUAAACGAUGUUAUGCAUUAAACCCAUGGUUCAUGCCUGGUAAUGGCAUUAUUUUAAUUUCCAAAGGCAAGAGAAUCAAAUGCUUCUUUUGCAUGGUGAGCACGUAACACAACCCAUUACCAAACACCAACCAACCAUUAAGUCAGAGCUCAAACUCUGACUGGUAGGGAGCCCAAGCAGAAAACGGAAAUACAAAUAUAUUCACCUGCAUGGGUGGAAAAUGAGAGAGACCCAACUCAGAAAAGAUUUCAGCGAUGGCCCCUGGGCUCCUCCUCCAUCUGGUGUAGCUUCAAAAGUUUCAUUGGCAACAAGGAUUUCAAGGAAGAGAAGAGAGGAGAGAAAAUGGUGGAAACAAGAGAAGAAAAAAAGUUUGGAAAAGGCAUAAUGAAUGAAUAAAUAUUACAGAGAGAGGGAAGAAGAUCGAUGGACGGCCGGCCGUUUAAUCCUGGUCAAUCGUGGUUGAAAUGUGUUGAAAUUCAUACGUGGCCACGUACUAUACGGCAAUUAUAUAUUUUUUUUUUAAAUGUAAUAUUAAUAUUUUGAAAGAAAUAUAUUAAUAAAUAAUAAUAAGAUUAUGUUUAAUAUUUGAAUUUAAAACUUAGAGUGUUGAUUUUUGAAAACGUUUCUAGUUUUUUAAUAUUUUAAUAAUAAAAAUUUUAAAAUGUCAUAAAAUCAUUAUUAAACAGGUUCUUAAUUAAGUGAUUAGAGGAGUAUUAAAGGGACUUAAUUUAUUUUGUUGGUUAUAAUUAUUUUUAUAAUAAAAAAUAAUUUAAAAUUUGCCUAGACCAACCAAACUUAACCAAGAUCUAAUUUAAUGUUUUAUAAAUUUUACAAUAUAUUAUUAUUUAUAAUUAUAUAUUUUCAAAUAAUUAUAAAAGAAAAAUGUCAAUUUAAUUGUAUUAUGUAUUAUUUUAUUUUUUUUAAUAAAAAUAAAUUCAUUUUGCAUUUUUAUUAUUCUUAAAAAUAAUGUGUCAUUUGAUAUGAAGUGUAUCAAAAAUAAAAUCAAAAUACUAUCACUAAGUGGAAUUUUCUUUUUUUCCUUUUUUCUUUUACUUUUUUUUUUCUUUUCUUUUUUUUUUUUUUUUGUUAUCACAACGAAAGCUUUGAUGCAAACAUCGUUAAUCAAGAACAAAAGAUAAAAUAAUCAAUAUAAACAGUACACGAGGUUUUAACAUGGUUCGACCAACCAUGCCUACGUCCACGGAUAAGAUAAUCAUUUCACAAUACAAUAAAUAAUAUUACAUGACAGAACCAGAACAUUAGAGAUGACAUAACUAGAUAUAACUAUUGGGUUCUUCAAACAUGUCAUGUUUCCCCACUCUUUGUAUCUCUACCCUACCAUGAGCUCUAUCGCUUCACCAUGUACCUCUUGUUUUUCCUCAUAUCUCUAUUCACCUCAUAUAGUCUUUACAAACUCAUCUUCAAUUCAUAACUUUUUCUCUUUCAUAACCUAGAAUAUUUAUAGACAUAUUUCCAAUAACCUUUCUUAUUUUACAAGGAAGCCUAAUAUCAACCUAAAAAUAUUCUAUAUAAUAUUUUUUUCUACAAAAGAAGAAUAUAUACUAAUUAGGAAUUUGAGACACUUCUUAACAAUCUCCACAUUGGACCAAAUUCCAUAAAGUCAAUCUUCAAUGGCACAAACUUUUUUUUAUUUUUAUACCACGAGAGAGCAAUCAACUCCACCUUCAUUGAAAAUUUCUUUUGUUUUCAUCUUGUGUACUUUGUGAUCUUUUACUUUUCCAGAAAUCUUUAACCUAAGUUUUGAUACCGGUUUGUUGUGUCGGCGAAAGCUUUGAUGCAAUCAUCGUUAAUCAAUAACACAAAGAUAAAAUAAUCAACACAAACGAUAUACUAGGUUUUAAUGUGGUUCAACCAACCAUGUUUAUAUUGACGUAUAAGAAAUGAUUAUUUCACUAUACAAUAGAGAACAUUACAGAUGAUAAAACUAGAAUAUUAUAGAUGAUAUAACCAAAUACAAUUAUUGGGUUCCUGAAACAUCUUAUAUUUUCCCAUUCUUUGUAUCCCUACUCUACCACAAGUCUUCUCGUUCUAUUGGUACCUCUCGUUCUUCCACACAUUUCCCCUUAUGACCUAAAAUAUUUAUAAAAAUAUUUCCAAAGAACCUUCCUUAUUCUAUAAGGAAAUCUAAUAUUACAAUAAUAUAUUAACCUAAAAGUAUUCUAUAUAAUAUUUUUUUUUACAAAAGAGAAAUAUAUAUUAGGAAUUUAGGACACUUCUUAACAAUAUUAAUUUUAAUAUAACUUGAAUUUACCUUAUGUUUGAAAAUAUGAUAUUAUGAUACUAGAUUAAAAUGAAUUGAAAAAAUAUUUAUUAAUUUAGAUUGGGAUCUUCAAUGCAAACCCAACUUAAUCUAAUCUAAAUUCAACCUUAUAAUAGAAUCAAAUUUAAAUUCAUGAAUUUGAAUAGAAGCUAAACUUAAUAUUAAAUUAAAUUAAAGUUUUAUAAUCCAAGCAAUAUCUUUUGUUUACUUUAUACUCUUAAGAAAACAUUAUUUUUUUUUAUCAACUAAAUUUAUUUUCCUAAUAAGCCAUUUUAAUUUCCACAUUGGACCAUGAAAUAAGAUAAAAAAAAAAAAAAUACUCCUUUACGAUAGGACAUUUUGUUAAAAAAUGGUGGUUGUAAAAAUAAUUUGGGUGUAUAAUAGUUUAAAAAAUAUUUUUAAAUGUAUGGCUAAAAUGCCAAUGAAAAAUCGUGUUUUAAAAAGACAACUUGGCUUACAUCACAUUGAAUUUAUCUUUUGUAAAAACCAUUUCAAUAUAAAUUUUAAAAUUUAAAGUUAAAUUUUUUAAAAUAUAACUUUUAUUCAAUACUUUUUCAACUACUUAUUUUAAAAACAAUUAUGUAAAAAUAUAAUAUUUUUUUCCAAAUCCAUGACGUUUAUAACCACACAAGGAAAAUAAUUUUUUUUUUUAAAUAAUCAUAUCAUCAAUUCAACUAAUUUUUAUAAUAAUUCCUAUAAAUUUUUAUAUUUAAUAAAUAGAAACCAUCUGCUUGCGACGUCAAUAUAGAGCAUGGGAUGUGAAAUCAGUUGAUUGAAGGUUUAUAAUAAUUCUCAUAAAUUUUUAUAUCUAAUAAAUAGAAACCAUCUGUUUGUUCGGAGAAUGGAAUGUAGAAUUCAUCAGCUAUUGAUUGUGGUUAUAAAUUUAUCAGAUAUAUAUUAAGUAGGUCAGUGGGUGCAAAACCCCAACUCAAAACUGGUCUAACAGUCCAAAAAUCCCAAUCUCUUAGACAACCUCUGGCUGUGGGAACCUACAUGAAACUUAUAAACAAUCUUUGCUAUAUGUUUUGUUCAGUCUUGGAGAGUUGAGACUUGAUGAAACCCAAUAAUGAUGAAAAUUGGCUUUUCUCCCUGGGCUCAUCUUUAAUCUCAGCACCACAAGCAAAAUUGUAGGCAAACACCCUACACGUAUGAAAAACAAAGAACAAAAAGCCAUAUAAUACUUAAUGAAUUAAUCAGUAAUUAGAAGAUGCUAUCCUUUAUGUUUCCACCAGUAAGCAGACUGAAAAAAGGAUCUUCCUUGUUUUCAUUGUCACUUUUGAUUUCCUCAACAGGGAAAAAGGGUGUGGUAGCUGCUGAUACUGUAGGUCUCUUCACGGAGACAAAAGCCACUUUAUUGCUUGAAUCAAAUUUACGUUUUAAAGGAUUUGAACUCGGAAAUGAGCUUGUGUGUGGAAGCAAGCCUUGUUCUGGGAGGAGAUUCUCAAUAGAGGAUCCUUCAACUUCUGAACCAUUGCUAACUUGCACACUAUCUUCAACCCGCUUCCCAUCAUCACUUUCAAGGGAAGGAUUCACCAGUAGAGAUUUGUCCUCACUGACCAGAGUUGGACCCUCUUCUGAACUGUGGAGCAUGUCUGUCUUCUUGGAGCCAAGUUCAUCAUCUACACAAAAGACAAAUGUUACAGAACUGGGCAAGAGAAAUAGUAGCACCAGAAUACAAAGCAACAGCAAGAAACCAGAGGUUAAGGCAGCUGCAAAUAAAUUAUGAGAAUUGGAAAUACUCAUUUGCAGCAUGCUAGCUUGUUUAGCAACAAAAUAUAUAAAACUAGCACCAAAAAUCCAAUUGACAAGCCUCGAGGAAAUUUUCCAUCCAGUCAAAGUGUCCAAGUUGCAGGAAAUCAAUAGCUUCAGCAUAACAACAGGGCUCUGUUGUUUCAAGAAUAAAUGUUAACUUCCUAAACGUCUCAAAUGGAACCCAACACAGCAUCAUGCCUCUGGAAGCAACUUUUCAUAGCCUCCAGAAAAGUGAGCUCAAGCUUGAAUUCAAGAGGACGAAAUUGAAUCUUCAGCUAUAAACUAAAACAUGAUGUAGCUCACUUUAGCUUCUGUCAAGUCUAUGUCUAAAGUAAAUCAUCAUAUGUCUGAGGAUUAAAUAGAUGGUUAAACAGGAAAAUUGAAUCAUUUUUUACCCUAAUGAAUAUUCUUGAUCAUGAAAUAGAUGGAACCAUUCUUAUCCAAUGGUCAUUGGUAAUGUAUCUGACAUUAAUCAGUACUUAUAAAAAUAUGAUAGAAUAAGUAAAAAUGUUGAAUAUAAUGUAUUUAUAGUAUAUUAUCUUUCCUUGUUAAUAUAGGUCACAUGUAUGGUAGUUAGGACUCCUAGCCUUGUAUAUAUAUAUAUCUCAAUUGUAAGUAGACAUUACAUGAAUGAGAAUUAAGGUUUUUCUCCUUUCUCUCUCUCUCUUUCAACAUGGUAUCAGAGCCAAGGAAGAAAACCUAAUUCUUUCCUGUUUCCCGUGUCAUCAACUCCGGGAAACCUUCCGGUGACUGUGUUUCUUUCCGGUCACCCUCCCCAUCUCCCAACACUUUCCGGUCAGUCGGAUCAUCGUUAGAAACCACUCACCGCCGGCAAAAUUUUCCGGCAAAUUUUCCGGCGAACUUUCCCGGCGACCUAUUUUUCCGACACUGACCAUACCAGAAGGAGCGCCUGGAGGAGAUCUCCAACUUUUGUGAAGGCACCAGCAUCAAAAGAGGAUCCACGCGCCGGCGACUGCAUCUCACGCGCCGGCGACUGCAUCUCACGCGCCGGCGCGUGAGGGCGCGUGAGGCCUUUUCCGGCGACGCGCCUCCUCCUCCAGCCUCGCCUGCCGCCGACCAGCAUCCCUACCUACCUGGUUCUCCCAUCCGAGCCCUGCACGUACCUCUUUUGGGGAUUUUUGUCUCCGUCAGCCCUCCAAACAACCUUUCCGGCGAAGUUCCGGCUACUUUCUCUCCACCCCAAUCCCUGCACGUGCCUUGGGAAGUGUUCAUCUACCUUUCUGGUGGUACCACGUCGCGAUCUGAGGCCGUCUCCCUUUUUCGGUGGUGCCACGCCGCAAUCUGAAGCCGUAUUAGGGCUCUCUUCGAUCCAAAUACGUGAAUAUGACCACCAAAAAUCAGAUCUUUACCUCUGUUAUCUCUGGAUCUCCUAUGAUUACCUCAGAGAAAUUGGUUGGCAGUGAAAAUUAUCUUUCCUGGUCUGCCUCUGUUGAACUUUGGUUUAUGGGUCAAGGAUAUGAGGAUCACUUGGUUUCCCAGGAGGCAGAUAUCCCUGAGGUUGACCGCGUACAGUGGAGGAAGAUAGAUGCACAGUUAUGUAGUGUAUUAUGGCAAUCGGUUGAUCCCCGGAUUCUUCUUCAUCUUCAGGCCUAUAAAACUUGUUUUAAAUUUUGGACUCAAGCCAAAGGAUUAUACACGAAUGAUAUCCAGCGUCUUUAUAAGGUGGCUUCUGCUAUUGUCCAUCUCAGCCAACAGGACUUGGAUCUAUCUACUUAUAUUGGUCAGAUUGCCUCUCUUAAGGAGCAGUUCUUGACUGUGAUGCCUCUUACUCCUGAUGUUGGGGCUCAACAAACACAGCUUGACAAGUUCUUCAUGGUCCUUACUCUUAUUGGCCUCCGUCCGGAUCUUGAGCCUAUUCGUGAUCAGAUUCUUGGUAGUUCAUCAGUUCCGUCCUUGGAUGAUGUGUUUGCUCGCCUCCUCCGUAUCUCGUCCACUCAGACUUUGCCAUCUGAUAGCGCUUCAGAUUCUUCUGUGUUAGUUUCUCAAACUACCUCUCGAGGAGGACGCAGUGGUACCCGAGGUAGAGGCCAACGUCCUCAUUGCACCUAUUGCAAUAAACUUGGCCACACUCGCGAUCGUUGCUAUCAGUUACAUGGAAGACCUCCUCGCACUGCCCAUAUGGCCCAGUCCUCUGAUUCUCCGCUGCCUCAGCCUCCGAGCUCCUCCGCAUCUCAGACAUCUCAGGCUUCUAUUGCCUCUGUUGCCCAGCCUGGUAAUGCCUCUGCCUGCCUUACCCACACAUCUUCUCUUGGACCCUGGAUUCUAGAUUCUGGAGCAUCUGAUCACCUAUCUGGUAAUAAAGAUAUUUUCUCCUCUAUUACUACUACCUCUGAUUUACCUACUGUUACUUUAGCUAAUGGUUCUCAAACUGUGGCUAAAGGUAUUGGUUUGGCCCUUCCUCUGCCUUCUCUACCUCUCACUUCUGUCCUUUAUACUCCUGAAUGUCCUUUUAAUCUUAUUUCCAUCAGCAAAAUCACUCGUACUCUUAAUUGUUCUAUUACCUUUUCUGAUAAAUUUGUGACCUUGCAGGACCAGAGUACGGGGAAGACGAUUGGCAUAGGACGUGAGUCUCAAGGCCUCUAUCACCUCACCUCAGAUUCAUCUCCUGCAGUUUGCAUUUCCACUGAUGCUCCUCUCCUCAUUCACAAUCGUCUGGGCCACCCUAGUCUCUCCAAGUUCCAGAAGAUGGUUCCUCGUUUUUCCACUUUGUCGUCGCUUCCGUGUGAGUCAUGUCAGCUUGGGAAACAUACUCGUGUCUCGUUCCCAAAGCGUUUGAAUAAUCGGGCAAAGUCUCCUUUUGAGCUUGUCCACACUGAUGUUUAGGGUCCUUGUCGGACUGCGUUUACUUUAAGAUUUCAGUAUUUUGUCACUUUCAUUGAUGACUAUUCUCGAUGUACUUGGUUAUUUUUAAUGAAAAAUCGAGCUGAGUUAUUUUCUAUUUUCCAGAAAUUUUAUACUGAAAUCCAAACCCAGUUCAAUAUUUCUAUUCGUGUGUUACGCAGUGACAAUGCCAAGGAAUAUUUUUCAGCCCAAUUUACUUCGUUUAUGUCUCAUCAUGGGAUUCUUCAUCAGUCUUCUUGUGCUCAUACUCCUCAACAAAAUGGGGUAGCUGAACGCAAGAAUCGACAUCUUGUUGAGACAGCUCGUACUCUCCUCCUCUAUAGUCACGUUCCUUUUCGUUUUUGGGGGGACGCUGUUCUUACCGCUUGUUAUUUGAUUAAUCGUAUGCCCUCCUCUGUCUUACACGAUCAGAUUCCUCACUCCCUUCUUUUCCCUGACCAACCACUUUAUUUCCUUCCUCCUCGUGUCUUUGGUUGUACUUGCUUUGUUCAUAUUCUCACUCCUGGACAGGACAAGCUUUCCGCCAAAGCCAUGAAGUGCCUCUUCUUGGGAUAUUCCAGACUUCAGAAGGGUUAUCGUUGCUAUUCCCUUGAGACUCAUCGAUACUUUAUCUCCGCUGAUGUCACCUUCUUUGAGGACUCACCAUUCUUUUCCACCACUUCUGAGUCUCUUCCUGUUUCUGAAGUCUUGCCCAUUCCCAUUGUCUUCCCACCUGAUGCUAUGCCCCCUCGACCACUUCAGGUUUAUCAUCGUCGCCCUCGUGUCGUUGCUCCUCUCCCUUUUCCUGAGGCACCUGCUGACUCACUUCCUAUCCCUUCGACUUCACCUGCCCCGGCUCUGCCUUCUCCUAAUGACUUACCCAUUGCUGUUCGAAAAGGUACUCGCUCUACUCGUAAUCCUCAUCCUAUUUACAAUUUUUUGAGUUAUCAUCGAUUAUCUUCACCCUAUUCUGCUUUUGUUUCUGCUAUAUCCUCUGUUUCUCUUCCAAAGAGCACCCAUGAAGCUCUUUCCCAUCCAGGCUGGCGACAGGCAAUGGUGGAUGAAAUGGCUGCUCUGCACUCUAAUGGCACUUGGGAUCUUGUUGUUUUACCCUCUGGUAAAUCUACAGUUGGUUGUCGUUGGGUUUAUGCAGUUAAGGUUGGUCCUGAUGGUCAGGUUGAUCGCCUUAAGGCCCGCUUAGUUGCUAAAGGCUAUACUCAAGUUUAUGGUUCUGAUUAUGGUGACACAUUCUCACCUGUUGCCAAGAUUGCUUCUGUCCGCUUGCUUCUCUCCAUGGCUGCUAUGUGUUCUUGGCCUCUUUAUCAGUUGGAUAUUAAAAAUGCCUUCCUUCAUGGUGAUCUUGCCGAGGAAGUUUAUAUGGAGCAACCUCCUGGUUUUGUUGCUCAGGGGGAGUCUGGUUUAGUGUGCAGGUUACGCCGUUCUCUAUAUGGCUUGAAACAAUCUCCUCGAGCAUGGUUUAGCCGUUUUAGUUCUGUUGUUCAAGAGUUUGGCAUGCUUCGCAGUACAGCAGACCAUUCAGUUUUUUAUCAUCAUAACUCCUUGGGGCAGUGUAUUUAUCUGGUUGUUUAUGUGGACGACAUCGUCAUUACAGGCAGUGAUCAGGAUGGUAUUCAGAAACUAAAGCAACAUCUUUUUACCCACUUUCAGACCAAAGACUUGGGGAAACUCAAGUAUUUCUUGGGAAUUGAGAUAGCUCAAUCCAGUUCUGGUGUGGUCCUUUCCCAAAGGAAGUAUGCUUUAGACAUCCUGGAAGAAACCGGUAUGUUAGACUGUAAACCGGUAGACACACCUAUGGAUCCGAAUGUCAAACUUGUACCAGGACAGGGGGAGCCUUUAGGAGACCCUGGGAGAUAUCGACGGCUCGUAGGUAAAUUGAACUAUCUCACCAUUACUCGUCCAGACAUUUCUUUUCCUGUGAGUGUUGUUAGUCAAUUCCUACAGUCACCAUGUGAUAGCCAUUGGGAUGCCGUAAUCCGUAUUCUUCGAUAUAUCAAAAGUACACCAAGCCAAGGUGUAUUGUACGAGAACAGAGGUCAUACUCAAGUUGUUGGUUACACAGAUGCAGAUUGGGCUGGCUCACCCACAGAUAGACGUUCCACUUCAGGGUACUGUGUUUUUAUUGGAGGUAAUCUAAUAUCUUGGAAGAGUAAGAAACAAGAUGUAGUGGCCAGAUCUAGCGCUGAAGCCGAGUAUCGAGCUAUGGCUUUGGCAACAUGUGAACUCAUAUGGUUGAGACAUCUUCUUCAGGAGUUGAGAUUUGGAAAGGAUGAACAGAUGAAACUCAUCUGUGAUAACCAGGCCGCAUUACAUAUUGCAUCCAAUCCAGUCUUUCAUGAAAGGACCAAGCAUAUUGAAGUUGACUGUCAUUUCAUUAGAGAGAAGAUCGCAUCAGGAUGUGUUGCUACAAGUUUUGUCAAUUCAAAUGAUCAACUAGCAGACAUCUUUACUAAAUCUCUCAGAGGCCCUAGGAUUAAAUAUAUUUGUAACAAGCUUGGUGCAUAUGACGUAUAUGCUCCAGCUUGAGGGGGAGUGUUGAAUAUAAUGUAUUUAUAGUAUAUUAUCUUUCCUUGUUAAUAUAGGUCACAUGUAUGGUAGUUAAGACUCCUAGCCUUGUAUAUAUAUAUAUAUCUCAAUUGUAAGUAGACAUUACAUGAAUGAGAAUUAAGGUUUUUCUCCUUUCUCUCUCUCUCUUUCAACAAAAAAAAAAAAAAAAUAUAUAUAUAUAUAUAUAUAUAUAUAUAUAUAUAUAUAUAUAUAUUAAAACCAAGAAAAAUAAAUGAACUUGGAAAUCCCUCUUUUGAUAACAAGCUCAAUAACAUAUUCAUAUCAAAACCUAAGGCUGAAACUGACUUUUCCACAAGAGAAAAGCAAGGAGAGAGGGAAGGAAAAGGAAAUAAAGAACAGUAAUUGUUUUGCUCACCUGCAAGUAAAGCCUCAAUACUUUGAUAUUGUAUGGUUGAUGUUCCCAGAGAAACAUCUUCUCUGGGAUCCCCAUCUAGAUUUUUCAUCUCGAUUUUCUUGAUCCUCUCAAGCAAUACAAACUUAUCCGCUUCCCACACACAUUCAAGGGUGACAAAUUCUUCAUUUGUUGGAUAAUACUCCCUAAAAAACUGCACCAAUUAUCCAGAGAGAGAGAAAGAAGAACCUAAUUUUGAGUCAAAGGGUAACAGCAAAAAGAUAUUUACCAAAAGAAUUUGCCAAAUGUAUAGAGCUGCAAAACCAACCUCAAUUCCUGCUUGAGUCAAUUUUACAGACUGCUCCUUUUGGGAGAGAGAAGAAACCAUGUUGAAGACAGAAACAACAUCAAGUAGUGUCUGGAAAAAAAACAAAGAGCAAUCCUAAGUUUUGCCAUGGUGUCAACUAAAACAACGCACCAAGUAAUUCAGAUUGUCCUAUUAGGCACACUAAAUUAAGACACCAUACAGUCAUCCUUCCAACAAUGGCCUAUUCCUAAGAGUGAAUGGUAGUAAGCAAAUGCAAACAUUGGUGAAAAGAAAGCAUUUGUCCAAUGAGCUACAUCAAAGUCCCAAAUAACAAGGACAGACUUAUAUCUGUCCUUGCAACAUUUGACACCUUGAUUCCAAGUAAGAUUUUGCCACCAUCUCUUUGUCCAUCCAAUUUUUAGGGGGUGUUGCUGUGUCAUAUGCUUUGUAUCAAAACAAGGCACCCAGGCCCUCUUCAUACAACAUACAAUUUUCACCCUCUUGUUAUGUUGGCACUAGGAUGAGGCCAUCAGCUAGACCAUUGAGAUUGAUCACCUUAUUGCCAUAAACUAACAAGAUUCGAAAACCAAUUCAGAUUUUUUUUUUUUUUUUUUUUUGGCUAAGCAAAAACCAAUUUAGAAAUUUUAAUUCUUCCUCAAAAUGAAAGCAUACUUGCUGAACCAAAACUCGAAGGCGAGCAAGAAGAGCCAAGAUUGUUAGAGAGAAUCCCAUGAAAAAUGACCGAGCAAGCAAAGUAGAUAUCUCACUGUAGAAUAGUUAAGAAGAAAAAAUUAAUAAUUUAAUUUUCCCAAUUCAUCCCCACAUGAUCAAACCAAUAUUCUAAUACAAUGAUGAUGAGCAUGCAACCACUCAAAAUAGGAUGGUUUUAACAAGCCAAGACAGACUGAUAUUUGGCCAGUUUGCCUCAAGAUGGCAGAAGAAAUUGCAUCUAAAAAAAAGGUGCAAAACAUAAGAUAGAAAAAUCCAACUAUAUUUGAAGAGUGGAAAAGAUCAAAAGAGUGCCCUUUUCUUUUUCUUUUUCUACGAUCCUUGUAAGCAAAGGAAAAAAAAGGCACGCACACAAACAAACAAAGAGACAUGGUGGCCAACUGAUUAGGUCCAGAAAACCUAUCCCAGAAAGAUAUCUAAUUACUGGACUUGAAAAGGAAAUGGAAAUAAUUAAAACCUAGAGACCUGCAAAUAAUAUAGCGAAACAAGAAAUGGCAGAACAAAAAGAAAAUUUGAUGAACCAGAAAUUAAAUCUGGCAGAAAAGAGGAUCAUAGAAUUUUUUAGUGAUAAAAAACUAAAAAGACCCAGACCAUGCUAUAUGCCUUAAAAAAGAAAUAUAUAUGAUAAACCAAUAUUGCAUUACAAUUGUAUACCUUUAAACUAUACUUAAAGGCUUAUAUUUUGGAGAAAUACAGUUUCUGAUGAAGCUCAUAUUUUGGAGAAAUACAGUUUCUGAUGCAAACAAGUCUACUAAAACUACCAGGUAAGUAGAAAGACAGCUACACCGUUAUGAUGGGAAAUGAUUGGUAUAGCCCUUGUUUAGGAUGUGGUAAAAAAGAUGUGCUAAUUUAUAAGUCACUUCCACAACCAAUUCAAUCAAGUCAUUUUGAGAUCUAAGAAAACUAAUCAAAUGUCCAAAUUAGUUCUAUUAGUAUCACAAAAAGUCCCAUAACAAUAACAAAUUAACCAACUAAUGAAGGAUACAUAGCUGCCUUCAACAUCGGUUCCACCAUCUGCAACAGAAACAGAGAAAACAUUAGGAAGAGUAAGCACAACCUAAGGACUUAGUGGUUUCCUCACUACACAAUAUAUGGGAGAUUGUGUAAUCUAGCGUAUCUGAAGCUGCAUUGCAAGUAGCUGCCUCCUAGAUUUGACAUAAUAAAAAUACUGAUCUGAUAUAUGUAUCUGAUAUAUGGUAGCACUUGCACCAAUGUACCCUUUUCAAAACCACAGAAGUCAUAUUAGAAAAAUCUAACUUUUCCGAUCAAAGAGGCUUGUAUCAGAAGACAGAUUGUUGAAAUACCAAUUUGCAUGAUUAUACAAGGUGGCUAAAUGGUUGAACAGGAAAGACCAGCAAACACUGCACUUGCAUUUGGAUCAAGAAAAAGAAAGAAUCUAUUCAAAGACAUUCGGAUUCCAAUUGUAUUCAUUUAACAAUGUCAGCAAGGUUAAUCUUAGUUUAAAAUGCUAAAAAUAUCCCAAAGAAGUUAGGUAAGUUUGGAUUAGGGCAAGAAUGCACUACUGUGUCCCUUCUCCAAAAUUACAAAGCAUCUAACAUCAACAUUUUCCACUCCCAUGUGCCAAUUCUGGUGAAUAAUAGGGCUGUUUUUACUCCCCUUGGAAUUGAAAAUCCUGUAUUUACUAUCUUUGUAAUUUUUUUCUCCUUUUUUCUUAUGGAAUCUUUGUCCUUCUUAGUGUAUCCCUUUUAAAUUCAAAAGAAAUUUUCUUGUUUUCUAUUAAAAAUUUAUUGGCUGACAGUAAGCCAGAUUUCCUGGUGAGGUUGUACUGUGAUGAUAUCAUGUCAAUGUCACAACAAUAUGGCAUUUUUCUUCCUUUCCUCCCCCAUCUUCUUCAUUGAUACUCCCUCUACCAACACUUAGACCCUUGACUUUUCAGAUUAUUACACUUGUUCAGAGCUCAGAAAAAUGCAUGAAAAGCUGCUUUUGCAGUUCUUUCAGUGUGACCUGAAUAGUAAAAAAGGCUAAGUUGGGAUCAUGGCUGCUGAUGCCAUACUCAAGACAUAUCAUACAUAUGAGUGAGAACCCUAGGAGUACAAAUAUCUCUAAAUAAAAAAGUACACAUGGCAAACUGCAAUGGAGUAAUGCAUUAAGGAACUUAGUGAUAUCAUAGAAAAAGAAAAGUAUGUUAAUGACGAAUCAAGCUGACCUUUCCUUAACUGAGGGAGAUGUGACUGCUGAAGAAACAAUCAAAUGUGAAAAAGGAAGAAACAGGAUAUAAGAGGGAGGAAGAAAACAAAGAACAUACUUCAGAUAGUAAACGUGCAGCUCCCAGAAGCCGCUCCAUAAAAUUAUAUUUACCACCAUCGCCUUUUCUCUUCUUUAAACUGCAUAGAUAUAAAUAAAUAAAUAGAUAAGUGAAAAAACAAGCAAACAUGUGUGAGCAUAUGUAUGUACACUCAGAAACUUAUGAACAUCCUUUUGCUUCAAAGUACAUUAUUUAAAUCUCAACAUAGACAUUUACCCCUAUCAAAUAGUGAGUAAAUUAGAUGGGGAAAAAAUGAGGACAAACAUAGACUUCAGUUCAAAAGAGAACCAAACCAUCCCUCUGUAAAGCUACCACGUGAUGGUUUGAGAUAUUUGUGAUACUAUGCCAAAGCCCCAAUGUUAAAGGCAAUGUAGAAAUAGAUGGUCAAUCAAUUCUCCACUUCUCAUGCAUAAAAUGCACCAAUGAAGACUGAGAGACUUGUAGGAUCUGCUUAAUUGUAGGAUGUCAUUGGUGUUUACCUUUUUGUGUACCACUAACCUAGCAAAGGCCUUAACCUUUGAAGGGGCUUUUGAUUUUCAAACAAAUUUGGUCAAAAGGAACGGGAGUGGACUUGAGAAAUUGGACAAGGUCAAGAAAAAGAUUUUGUUGAGAAUAAACCUAAGAAUAUAAGUCUUUUAAGAUUUUUAAUUUCCAUGUCAAUGAAAUUGCGACGAAAGUUAAAAUUCUAAGAAAUUGGAGAGGAAUUAUCAAGGACAACUAAGAUGGUGAUAUUUUUUUUUUUUGAUAAAUAUCACGAAUAUAUUAAAGGGCAAAGGCCACCAAGCAUACAGGACGUAUACAAAUCUGCCUCAAAACGAGAGCACAAAAAAACACGCACCCUUACCCUCCCUUAAGUGGCCGCUAGCCACUCCAAAAAACCUAAGAGUGAAGAGGACUCCUCUCCAAUAUACACCCUAGCCCAACUCCACAAGGUACAAACAAAAUAAUUUUUGAGUUUCUGUAUAUUUAACACCCCUCCCUUUAAAGCUAACCUAUUCCUUUCCUUCCAUACCGUCCAAAAAAUACACAACGGGAUAGAAUUCCAAUUUUUUUUCCUCUUUUUCCCCACAAAGGGGCCCCUCCAACUGAAUAACGCCUCCUUCACCAACUCUGGGAACACCCACUGAACCCCCACAAGGGCAAAAAUAAUUUCCCAUAAGGCCCUUACCACUAUACAAUGUAAAAGAAUGUGAUUUACAUUCUCCUCUUCACAACCACACAAAAAACAUCGGUUAGGAAACUGCCAGCCCCAUUUUUGAAGCCUAUCCAGGGUGAGAAUCUUCCCCCACGCGGCUUCCCAAGCAAAAAAAGCCGCUUUGGUUGGGACCUUGUGGUGAUAUUUUUCAAUGUGACAACUCUAUAGAGACCUGAAAAUUGUGAACACAAAUGGUUAUCACCCCACCACAAAUCUUCUCAGAAUUGAAUUCUCUCCCCGUUACCCACCACAACGCAAGAAUAUGAGGAAAAUUCCUGGCAGACUUGUGCAAUAGCCUUCUAAGGACAUCCUGUGACCAUCUAACCAGAAUGUUGGAGUCUCAUCCAUUAGGAUGUGUCCUAUAAAUGCUUGAAAUAACUUGAUGUCAUAGGCCACAAUUUUCCUUAGGGAACCUGUAUAGCAACUUCCCUAAAUGAGCACGAUUUCUCAAGGAAGUCUUCUCAAUUCCCAGAACUCCAAACUCCUUUGGCCUACACACUAUGUACCAACUAAUAAUAAUCUUUUUUACCCUCCCCAAUCUUUGACCAAAGAAAAUCUCUUUACAUUUUCUUGAUCUUUAAUCCAUUUGAUUUUUCAAAGCAUGAAUUCCAAACCAAAUGAACAUAGGAGUAUUUACUUGGAUGAGUUUUCAUAUAUGUACAAUAUUCUUCUCUAAAUUGAUUCUUUUUUACUUCUGGAAAUGCAGAGAAAAACCAUUUUCUUUUUUCUUUGUUAUUUUCUAAUCAAAAUUCAAAUAUAAUGUAUUCUUUAUCAAUUGUAAAUUUUCUUAAUGUUAUAAAUGAUUUUUUUUUUUGUUUUGGAGCAUCAUGUUGAAUUUGAGACUAAGUUGGAGAUAAUCUUGGGCACUGAUUUUCCUAACAAAACGGUCUUGGAAUAUCAUGUUGAAAGUUUACUCCUCAUAGUUCUUGGUUUCUAGUUCUAGCCAAGGUAUAACUAAAAGAAGAUCUUGAGGAAGAAGUUCUUGAUUUAUAUUAUUGACUCCUAGAUAUUAGAGAAGUGCAUUCAAUGGUUACUAAUCCUUCUUUGUCUUCAAGUUGUUUUCAAUUUUAAGAGUGAUUAAAUUUUUGAAGUCCCAUUUUAAUGAGGUUGCCAACUGUUCUAAUGGUUACCACAUAGGAACCAUUGUUGAUUCAUGUUCAUCGUUUGCUUGGAAUAUCAAAGUUUCUCUUUAAGGGAAGAAACCAAACAUUUAGGAUAGAGAGAGGUUGUCAUAGCUUUCUAAUAUAUUGAUUUGUCAAAAAGUAGAUUCACUCUAACUCACCAAGAACUAUUCAAGAUAAGAUCUGUUGAUUUGCCAAAAAGCAAAUUCCCUUUAACUCGUUAAAGAGUUGUUCAAAAUAAGAUCUGUCGAAAGCACAUUCUCUUUAGCUUGAUGAAUUUCAACACAAGCUUAAAACAUUUUGAAGUUUGUUACUCUGAUUAUUAAAAGACCCUCUGCAAGGAAACCAUUGACAAAAAAAAUUAAAAAACCUCUUUGAAAUCAAACCUUAUUAUCUCUUCUCCCCUUAUAUAUAUAUAUAUAGAUUUCUUUCGUUGUAUACCUUUCAUAUUCCAUACUUCUCAACUGAUUUGUAAACUCUGUAAUCAAGAUCUUUGUAAGUCAAGUUUUUUUCAAAUAUUUUGUUUUUUUCAAGUAUUUGUUCCUAUUAUUAUUUUACUCUUUUUGUUUUUAUUAUGGUUUUACUAUUUUUACCUUGUUCAAUUUUACUCUAUUGUUUAAUUAUAAAGAUCCUGAGUAAAUGGUAUCAGAGCCAUAAGUUUUAUUUAGUUUAAAUUAAGUUGAAACUUUAAUUAAAUUAAACUAAGGAAUAGUGUUGAUUAGCCCAUCAAGCCAAGAUAUAAGGGGUGAUCGCAAAGAUAGUCUUACUAGACUUUGGAAUUAGUGAAACAAAGGUAUAACAAGCUUUAAAAUAAAUGAGUACUCUAUUGAGAAGGCUCGCACAUAAUAAGGGUACUAAUAGUUUCUCUAAAAUCGAUAAAAAUAUUAGCUCUCUAAAAACUUCUUCAAGACUAGAUAAUCCCAUGUAUCAACAAGGUAGCGCUUAUUUUAAGGGGCUACUUAUGGAUGCUAAAAGUAACAUUUGAAGGUCAAAUGCAACUUCUAGGAGUGUUUGGGUGGAAUUCUCAAAUGUAAGCCUCAUAUAUCAUAUUGGGAAAGUGGAGAGGCACAUGCUUUUCUUCAAAUUUAAAAAUGUAUAAAUUUCAAAGGAAACAUGUGUUGUAGGUUCAUCCUAUUCAAGCAUCUCAUAAUAAUUGUACGCAUCAAACCUUAUUUUAAUUCUUUCCAAAUUAAUACAAAUCAAUAUGUCCACAAUUUUGUGUGAUUGUGCAAGACAUGGAAUUUAUCUAUACAAGUAUAGUCCCAAUUAUGAAUAUCACAAGAUUGAGUCCUCUUAAGGCAAUCCACUAGUGAUUUUUUAGAUAUGAAAUAAUAAUAUGUAACCAUUUUGGUCCGUAUCUAUGCUUAGUGGACAAUACAGUAGACAUGCUUUUGCACCAACACAAAUGCACAACUCCCUAUAAUCUAAAUAUGCAAAAAUGGUAAUGCAUAAUUAUCUAUAUGUGUAGACUUUGAGUUCUAUGGAGGCAUAUUUGUUUAUUUAUGCAUUGUGCACAUGCAAAUCAAUGUUAUUUCAACUUAUCAUCUAUUUCAAAGUUAAUAGGAAUGAUAAAGUAACCAAAAUUCAUGCCACAUCAAUGCUUCAAGAAUUGUCACAAGGUAAAAUGAGAAAUACAUUAAGAGUGGAUCCUACAAUGGAAAUAUAAAACACACCCACCCUUCUCCACAUUUUCAAAACAAAUAAAAGGAAAAAUGCCUUUGGGUGUCAAAAUUGGAUUCAACAAGAGUUUCAUGUCAAUAUGUCUACAACCAUUUAUAAAAGUAUUUUGAAGCAAAAACUACGAAGAUCGUUACCAAAUUUGUCAUUCUAUUUAAGUUACUUCGCAUUCAGAUAUCAGCCAACAUGGGAAAACCAGCCUACCAAAUAAAUAAGGCAAAUAUAGAGAAUUAGAAUGUACCUUUCUAAAAGAUGGACCUUUUGUUGGGGUUUCUUUCCAUGGAUAACUUGAAAGCAUGAACUCAAAAGCUCUUCCAAGUUAGCUGAUUGCAGGAGUUUCAAGUCCCUCCUCACCUAAAACCAUAAACAAGUAUGGUAAACUACAAUGAACCCAUUAAAAAAUAUAUAGAUAGUCUAAUGCUCAAUUUGAUUACAGAAAAUUUAUAUAGGAAAAGAAAAGAAAUUGAACUUUUGAAAUUUGAUAAAAUCCACAGUUUGAAAACAAACAUAUUUCAGCUAUAUGUCUUAAUCAUGGACAAUUUCACAUUUUUAUGAAAAUUGUACACAAAUAAAAAUUACUAUGAGCUAUACAAAGCCUAGUCCUCAUUUUUACUUACUAAGAAAAUGCACGAAAAGAAAAGAAAUCAAACGAGUUUAUAUUUGCAUCCACUUAAUCUCUCCACAUAUCCACCUUAUUUACAAAUCCACCCUAAAACAUAAAACUUCUUAAUACAUACACCUAUGUAUUUUUAAUAUACCAAAAGUACUUUCACCAUUCCUCUCUUCCACACCACACUUCUUCUACCUUCUUCUGUUAUUGUUCUUCUCUUCAACAAAACCCUAGGGCAAAAUAUUAUUCUUCCAAGCUUGUUUGUCACCCAAAAAGUGUUUUAAGUUCAAAGUUAAUUCCAAUAUCUUCUAUGCAUUUUAGUUUGUAUCCACGCAUUAACAUUAUAUUUGUUUCACAUAAAUAUAUUUUAGGGCUUAUCAUUUAUGUAAUUAUCAAUAACUAUUUAUUGUAAAAAUAGUUAGGAAAUAUUUAGGAAUAAUUUAGAAGUGAUUUAAAGGUGAAAACAUUUUAAAAAAUGGAAAGGGAUAAAAAACAUGAUGGGCUAUCUGGACCUCAAAAGGUUGAAUGCUCUUAAGGAUGUCUAGAGGUAUAAUAUCAGACACCCUUGAGAGUGUUCGGAGGUAUAGAACCAGAAACUUCAAAAACCUUCCAACCCUAAAAUUACGAACACUUUUCUCGAUCCCUUUAUUUUUAAGCUCUAAAAAAAUGGAAAAAAAACAAAGAACAAAAAAAUCAUACAUAUACAAUUCUAGUAUAAUUAAAGAUGAUUAUUUGCUUAUUCAUUGUUCAAAAAAACUUCUUCCAAAUAUGUUGUUAGUGUUAUUAGAAGAAAUUGAGAAAGAAGAUGAGUGUGCAUUGAUUUGAAAUGAUAUUUUGGCCUUUCACUAAUGGAUAUUUUUGUCCUCAAAAAAAUCAUAAUCUAGGCAGAUACGUAAAGAGAUAGUUGGAUUCAAAUACAAAUUCUCAACCUUUGACUAUUGGUUUUUUUUCCUUUAUAUGAAAUCUAGGUGGUGCCUCUAUUUGCAGCAAUGUACCUUACUCAAGGUGAGUCUUACAUUCCCACAAAUCAAAAUAAUGUAAAAAGGUAAACAAAAGAAAUUAAAAUUUUCUUUUUUGUCACAGGUUUCUGACCAACCAAACAGAGAAUAAAGCCCAUCAAAAGAGGGGAGAAAAGGUACCUUUAGAAGGUAUUGAAAGUAGGAGCAUCUACGGUGUUGAUUCUUGUUCUUGUAUACAAUUCUUUCAAGAAUGGCACACUCAGAUUGGAGCUGACCAGUGAAAGAGUUCAAUCUUUCUUCAACAACUUCAAUUCCUGAAUCCAUGCAUGGGACUGCAAAAGAACAUUGAGAAUAACAAGAGGCAAAACAAAAACACAAGAACCAAAUUAGACUGGGGUUAGGGCAUCAAACAAGAGUUGAUCUUCUUGCUACAUUGAACUUUUAGGGUUUAGGACUUUAUGAAACCGAAACCUUAGAAAUGUUGACCAUACAUCCAAAAAUUUAUUUUAUAAUUUUGGUUGCAGAGAUGGUAAGCAAAUUAUUUGAGAAAAUUUAUUCAUAAUCUAAUUUCAAGGUCAGUCCCAUUCAUAACAACAAUGCUAUGCUCUUUACAUAGAAAUUUCUCAUAUUUUGCUUCCAAAAAAAGAAAAAGCCCAUCUGUGAAUUUUAAGUAAAGUGGCAUGUUCCUAUUCAAUCAUCUUUGAGAAAAAAUUUACAAUUCAAAUCAUGGUGAAAAUUUUAAAAAUUUUACAAUUCAAGAUUUUAAUUACUUUUUUCAUGUUUUCUAUCAUAUUUUAUCUGUAUCUAAACUAAAUCUAUUUUUAUACAAGAGAACAUUCCCAAAUAGAAAAGACGGUCAACCUCAGAAAAAUUUCAAUCUGGGCUGUAAUCGGCAAUAGCUCCACGGCUGUUAAAAAAGAAACACUAAAUUGAUAGCUUACAGCACUAGCAUAUCCAACUGAUAAAGCACACAAGUGAAAUCCGACCCUCCGUUUGGUUACCAAGAAAAGAAGGCAAAAUAAAUAAAUAAAUAACACACACACAUUUUGAUUACUAGGCUCUCUCUAUCUUAGCCGCCCAAAAUCCAAAAAAAAAAAAACCUCAGAUCAAUUAAGCCAAAGAGUCUUAUGAGUUUCAGAUAAAGUGCAAUGUUUAGCAUUCUCGAACCCUAGGUGGUGAAAAUUUUACGAUUGGAAAUUUUCUAUCAGUUCCCUGUUAUUUUCUCAGCAUCCAAACGAUUGUAUCAUACGUAAAUCUAUUGCUUGAAUUGGGGAAAACAGAUUGGAACGGUACCUUUAACACAGAGAUCGAUCGUCUAAGGAUGAUUGAAUUCUUUUGUGUAACGAGAAGUUGAAUGCUUUUGUGCAGUGACCGGUGUACUCUGAAGCUUGAACUCAGAGAUCGACUGAAACGCAGCGUUUGAAGGCUAAAUGAUUCGUUGCAUUUGUGUAAACAGAAACUUAGGUCAGUUCACUCGGACAAGAUGGGUUGAGCAUGGGGCCGGGACAAUUUUUGAACUAUUGGGCUGUAAGUGGGCCUGAUGUCUAAUUUAUGUCAUGACCAAGUUGAAUCUCGCCUUACUUCACUAGUCAGAUUUUCAAUCCAUGCUCAAUUUAAUAUAGUUUGGUUGAUUUUAAAAAAUAUAUAUAAGUUAAUUUUAGCAAUUUCCACAAUUCUUUCAUUUUGAUUCUAUGGUUAAAAUUAAUUUUCUAUUAAUUUAAUAAUUAUAAUUGAACAAACAGUAGCCUUGAAUAUUCGAUCGAGAGAAAAUCAAUAUCUCAAAAGUUUUCUAAUUUGAACAAAAUUGUUAAUUAUAAUGUAGACUUAUGAACAAAAUUGUUAAUUAUAAUGUAGACUUAUGGGGUGUUUGUUUUUUUUACUUUUUGCUGAAAGCAAUUAGUUUUCAGAAUUUAAGUUAUUUGUUUUUCUAUUUUUUUCAUAACUUAUUAUAAAAUUUUUACUAAACAGAAAAAGCCGAUAUAUGUAGUUUUUUCUAAAUAGAAAAAAUAACAUAUUGGUUUUUUUAUUUUUAAUACUUAAUAGAAAUAAAAUACUACAAAAAUAAAUAACAUAAUAUUUAACUAUUAAGCAUUAAGGUUGUAUUUAGAAUUAAGUAAAAAAAAAAAACAAACACCACCUUAUUAUCCUAACAAAUACAAAUUAUUCAUCUUUAUUUUUAUUUUUAUUUUUAUUUAAGUUAUAUGAUAUUGACCAUCAAAAUGUAAUAAUAUAAAAAAGGUGAUUAUCUUGAAAGCAUAAUUUCAAUCAUGUUGAUAAAAAUUACGUUAAAAUAAUUUCCUAAAUUGUUUCAUUUUAGGAUAAUAAAAUAAGUUUUAAUUGAUUUAAACAUUUGAUUUACUUAUAAAAAUGUAUUAUAAAAUAACUACUUUAUUUAUAUUUUUUUAUUUUUAGAAAUUAAUUUAAGAAUUAUUUACUUUUGAUGUUACUCUUAACCACUUCUUAAGAAUUAUUCUCAUGUGUGGUGUUGAAAUUUUUUAAUACAUAAAAUAAUGAAUAAAAUGUCUUGUUUGACUGUUGGAUAAUUUGAGUUGGGUCCUAACCAUUCUAUAGUGGGUAUCUUACCAUCUUCCAUUAAUUACUAUAUUGAAAAGUAUUUUCAAAACAAUCCUAAAAAUCAGAUUUUGAGAACAAAUUUUUUAAACCAUUUAUUAAUGUUUUAUAAAACAAAAGUCUAUUUGAUAAUUUUAAAUAUCAUUACUUUGUUUCCUAUGUUUUUAAAUAUGUUAAAGUAAUUUUACUACUUUAUUUUUAAUUAUUUUUAUAUUUGUAUAAUUAUUUUUAUAACAAUAUUUAAAAAAUAAGUUAAAACAAAUAAAUAAAUAUAUAUAUAUAUAUAUAUAUAUAUAUAUAUAUAUAUAUAUAUUAUGUUAGUCCAAGGGUUCUCCUAAUCGGGUUUUGAUGAUAACAAACCAUGGUUAAGUAACUAAUUGGUUUAAUGUUUAAGAAUCUUAGGUAUAAACUCGGAAAUUCAUAAAAGGACCAAAUGGAUACAAGAUCGAGACGCUUGGAAGACUUGAGAUCAUAGGAAAUGAAUGUAAAAUGAUAGCAUGAGUGCACUUAGGAUGUUUAUACCUUUUCAUGCAUCUUAGAAAACUCGAUUUAUUCUUUAAAACUUGAUUUUCUUUAAAACCCGAGUUUUAUCAAAUAUACCUUAGGCAAAUUAAUUCAAAAUUGGCAUAUUAACUCACCUAUAGACCUUGCCUAAGUGUUAGAAAAGAAAGGAAUCAAAAAAUAGGUUUUUCGGGGUCAAAAAGGCUCAAUCGGUCGAGGCUAAGGCCAACCGGUUGAGGAACCGGUCGACCGGCUGGGGUCGUUCGGUCGAGAACCGGUCGAGAAAGGUUAAAAACUUUCUCUCUCUCCCAGUAACCUUCUCUUCCCGGUCGAGGUGAUUCUUUUACCGGUCGAGGUCCGGUUGAGGCAACGGUAACCUGUCAUGCAUUAAAUGCUCCAACGGCUAGUGAACCGGUCGACCCCUAGCUCGACCGGACGAUGUUGCUUUUUGCUGUUUUUGACUCCCGAGCUUAAAAACCUAUAAAUUGAGAGCUCCACUUCAUUUGUUGAAAAGAGAACAAUUGCAUUCAAAGCCUACCUACCUGUUCUUGAUCAAAAAGCUCUCAUUUCUUUUUUUAGUGUAUUAAACCAUCACUUGCAUAUUCUUAGUGCACUCUUGUAAAUCAUCCUAGCUUCCUCUUGUACUUGAGCCAUCCUUAAGCUAGGUUGAGAGUUUCAUCUUUGUGUAAACUGAGUGUGAAAGCCUUCAAGUGGUUCAAAUCUUGAAAAGAUUGUGUAAGAGCCCAUUGGAGUCGGAAUCCAAGUGUAAGAAAAUUCAAAGCUUGAUUGAAACUUCAAGUUAGUGGAACCCUCACUCGGUUAGAAGAUUGAGGAGAGUAGACAUAGGCAAGAGAGUGCCGAACCACUAUAAACCCGAGAUUGAAUUCUCUAACUUUGUCUCUUUCCUUUAUUUAUUUUGUGCAUAUAUUAUUGUGUGGAAAAAGAUUUUGAAAAACCCAAUUCACCCCCCCUUUUAGGUAUUUUCUUUAAUUAUUCAUAGCCUUUGUUUUAUCAUAUUAUUUAUUGUAUUGAGAAAAAAAAUUAUUUUAUGUUUUUUUGUUGUUAAAUAUAUUUUUCUAAUUUUUUUUCUAAAUAAUAAAAAAAUGAUUUCUAAAACCGUUACUAAGUAAGAGGUUAAUUUAAUUGAGAUAAGCUAUUCAAGGAGGAAGAUUUUUCCUAAGUAUUGGAAUAAGGGUUUGACUAUUCUUUUUAGGCUAAAUUUUUUACAUAAUUUCACCUGGGGUUUAUCUACAAAUUCAAUGGACUAAUUAUUUCAAAUUAUGUUUUAAAAUUAUUAAUGAAUUUAGCACAAAUUCACAUUUGAUUUAAAAUUUAUUUUCUCUAGUGAAAAAAAUUGGAAGAACAAUUAUCUAUUUUACUUUGUUUUUAAAUAUUGUUUUUAAAGAACAGAAAAAUGGCAACAUGUCUAAAUAGGUUUUUAUUAUUUAAUAAAAGAAAUUCAAGGAUUUUUUUAAAAUAAAAAUAAAUAAUUAUUUUAAACUACAUGUAAUAUGAGAGUUUUUUUAAAAUAAAAAUUAUUUUAAACUAUAUGUAUGCAUAUAAUUAGUAAUUUAUUUAUUUUUUCAAUUUUUAUUCUCAUUCUUCGUUAACAUUGAAAUGAAAACAAAUUAUUAUUCUAGUUUUAUAUUUUUAUAUGUGUCCAAAUAUAAGAAUUAGAAUCACCAAAAUAAUUUAUAUAAGAGGAAAUGAGAGUAAAAACAAAACAUUUAUUCUCAUAUACCAAAUAUGACCUAAAAUAUUUGACAUAGGGUAAAAAUAUAAUAUUUUUGUAUAUUCUUUAAGCUAUGUUUGGUUUUCAUAGAAAAAAAAAACGGAUUUAGAAUCAAUAAAUUAUUUUUAUAUGUUUAUUUAAAUUUAUUUUACUUAUUUUAUUUCAUUAUAUAAAAAUUAAGUAAUUUUAAAGUAUAUAAAUUUUUAACUAAUUUUAAUUAUAUAUUUAUUUAUGUAUUUUUCACCCUGUGAAACCGAACAUUGGAAACCAUUUUCUUUUAACAUAUUUUUUUCUUUUCAUAAUGAUUUAUAGUACCAAACAUAGGAUAAAGGUAUGGGGACUUUUAGGCUAUGUUUCUUUUUCCGAUUUCAAGUUCAAUGAGAUUUAAAACUUGUCGUGUUAAGUUCCCUUUAACAAACUUUAGCACUUUUGUCCUCAUUGGCUCAGCGAUAUUUAAUUCCUUAUUAAUCCACUACAACGGGGUGAGUCAAUGUUAAGAAAUGUGUCUUUGCUAUUAGUCUACCAAAAGUAUCAACAAGUUGAUGUUUACUAGUUGAAAUAAAAUAUUAUAGGAAAUCGUGUGGGGGAACAUGAAGAAACAGUACGCGUGCAAUGUGGUUCAUUUAAUCCGCUAAUCCUAUCCGAAUCCAACCUAUCUUUGAGUGAGUUGGCACAAUUGUUUUUAAUAUUUAAUUUGAAUUUUGAUUAAAUUUUUUUAAUCUGAACUCAAUUUCAAUUAAAUUUUGAUCACCAAUAAUUUGAAACUAAUUCAAACUUGACUUAAUAUUUUUAUAAUAUUUACGAUAUGAUCUUGUAUAAUAAUAUUUUUUUAAAUAUCAAAUUAUAAUAUAGUUUUUAGAGAUACAUAAAUUUAUUUAUUUUAUUAUUAUUAUUAUUAUUAUAAAAUGUUAUCAUAAUUACUAUUCAAAAUUUAAUAAAAAAGUUUUAAAAAAUAUUAUUAAUGGAUUUUAAAUCAUUCAUAUCACCCAAUUAAUUAUAAUCCCAAUGAUUCAAAUUUCAUUUGAAUUUUAAAAAAUAAGGUUAAAUUAAACUUGAUUUGAGUAUUUUGAGUUAGUGGCUCUUCUCUUUCAUGGUCGUCCAAAUGUCAAUCAUCCACAAAAAUUUUUAAAAAUGAAAUUGAAUUAAACUUGAUUUGAGUAUUUUGAGUUAGUGGCUCUUCUCUUUCAUGAUCGUCCAAAUGUCAACCAUCCACGUACGGAGAUUCAAACAUGUACCAAUUUCAUAUUCUUUUAAAUAAAAAAAUAAAUAAAAAUGAAUAAUGAUGAGAUGGAAACAAGUGAGUAAUGUGGAGUGCAACUAAAGGGGUUGAAUGGGUAGGUUUUCAAUUAAUCAUCAAAUUAAAUACUAUUAUGACUUUUUGGGUGGUCCUUGUUUAUCGAUAACAAUCAAUCUUAUAGAUAUAAAUAAAAUUAAUCAAUAAUCACACAAAAAAAUAAAUUUUUUAUUAUAAAUGCUAAUUAUAAGAAAAUAGUAUAAUCCAUUAAUUAUAAAAAAAAAAAAAUUUAGUUGAUUGGAUGUAUUUAGUUGAUAGUGUCAAUAACUAUCAUCAUUUUUCACAUCUUACAAUAGCAAAACGGAAGUUACGGAAGUUUUAUGAUAAGAUAUUUAACUUUGUUGAAAUUAAAAGUUCAAAUUUUGAUCAAUUUGACUAAUCGAAUCUAAAUUUGGUGAAGUAAAAGGUUAUAUUGAGAUUUAUAAGAACUAAAGAAAAUAAGUUUCAUCUAGUUAAUAAGAAAGUAACAAAAUUUCAACUUGGCAUUUUUCUAAGUGCGUAAAGCUUAUGAAGUGGCGGCAGCGAAACUGAAACAGCGGGGGUGUGAAGUGGGUUAGGUGAGCGGUAAGCUCAACAGUAUUUUUUUUUUGUUUGUUUGUUUGUUUUCUUCCUCACCAUAAAUGAGAACGCUCUCCUUCACACGUCAACUCCAAUUUUGGAGUUGGUUGAAGCCAAAAAUCUAUUCUUCUCACGAUUUUGAAUUAAAUUCACAGUAUCGUAUCAAAAUCUGACAAAACAUCAUAAUACCAUUUUUCUAAAAAUAGAAACUUACCCACAUAAUAUGUAUAUUUCUCUGUGACCAAAUGUGUACAUUCCACACCACCCUCAAUACAUAAUUUACCCAAAAAAGAAACUACGCUACUUCCACGAUUCUACCCAAAAAAAAAAAAAAAACUCAUUGCGAUCACAGCCGUUGAAUCCAACCCAAUCUGAGCCGCCAAAACUGGUUCUAUCUACGGACAAGAAAGUUGUUGUCUUUUAACCAGAGUAUUCAAGAGCCAGUUCCACUUUACAGGUGUCGUCUUCUGAGCCGGCCAUCUCUUCCUUCUCUCUCACCACGGCACACGCCUUCUGCACCUUUGGAAUCGGCUCCAAGCCCAGUGUCAGCUCCAGCUCCACGUCGCUCCCAUCACGCGUCGGCUUCACUAGCGAAGCCUCCACAGUCUCCACCGACAUGCUGUCUGCUUCUCCGCUCUCGCGGCUCCCUGGAUGACUCACUCUCGAGUCACGACUCAGCUCGCUUUUAUAGCACCGGCUUAGGAUAACCCCAGCCGAUUCGUCGAACUCCGCAGCCGACUCCACUCUGGCCCUGGGCUUCCCACUCGAGCGCUUGAACCGCCCCCUGCUCUUAACCUUGUGAAGCUCGUGAGAAGAGCCAGCAGAGUUCUCAUCCUUUGACACGUGCCGAAUAUCUCCUGCUUUCAACGGCGGGCUCAUGCUGCUGACGGCCGACUCAGCCGAAAUCUGCAUGAUCGGAGCGCCGCUGAGCACUGCUUCCACCGCCGACUGACAAAGUUGCCAGCUUCCCGACCACAGAAGCCCGGCCGAGCCGUAUAUCGGAUUCACGAUCCUCCCACAAGCCUCGUACAGCAAUGAUCUGAAUAUAGCUGCAAAACCAAAAACAAGAAAAUUAACCAGGUUUCAGAAAGAAAACUUUUGAAAACGAAAACAAAAAAAAUCAAAAUCAAACGGAAGUAGAGGACUGACCAGGGCGGAGGUGUUCGGGGCCAGCAUUGAUAAGGUUGAUGAGGCCAGCGCGGCCGUAAAAUUUGGCGAGGAAGACGGUGGCAUUGGCUUGAAAAUCGGGGUUUUUGAUCCACUGAAGGCAAGGUCUGAGAGUGCAGCUAUCAUUACAGCCUUUGCGAAGGACUCGACAGCCAUUACAACUCAUCCGCAUGGCUGGGGUGUUUGGAAAGGAGGAAAAAAGGGCGAGAAAAUGGGGAAAAGGGGAGGAGAAAGAGUGAGGGGAUGGAAGAGGAGAUGUGGGGGGAUAUUUAAGUGAGGGAGGGCGUGGGUUUGAGGGCGCAAGUGGUUUGGGAAAGAGAAAAGGAUGUGAGAAAAUUGUAAAUUUGUGUUUGAUGGGAAACUGCUUGUAUUUAUUGCCAAAUUCUCUCAUUGCCCCUCUCUUGUCUGCCUCCGGUUUUCAACCUUUCCCUCUCUGCUUUCCCCUUUUUCUAUUCCUGCUUCCGCCACCCCAUCCUUCGUUUUUCCUUUUCUCUCUUACUGCGACCAUUCAAAGGAAAAAUACGGGAGAAAGACGGUCAGUUACGUAAAAAGAAUCUAAUCUAAAUCCCACACAAGCAACCACGUCCUUGGUUGAUUCUGAUGGACGGACGUUGAUCAAGGUUACUGCGGUCUUUUCAAUCCCCCAAACAACGAGGCCAAGAUUGUAAUUAAAGGGAAUCUCAGGGUCAACAGUAUCUUCGACGCCAUGCAUAUUGCUCCAAAACUACAUGCAGCAUGAACACGACACGUGUAAAGCCUUACAGAGCUCAGAGUGCUGACUAGUCGCCACAUAGUGGCUCACACCUUGAGAAUAGAGGCAUCCUCGCACGCGCCACAUUUACACGCGCCAAACACGGAGAUUCAUCCCAGUCGGGUGAGUCAUCUGCCCACGUGAAAAGUCACACUUAACUGGGGUAUGAUUGGAGGGCAGGAGUGGAGGGCGCGUUGGGUAGGAAUAAGAAUUGGGGAGCGUGGAAAACGCCGCCCUAAGUUUCCACUCCCGGUUUUGUGGAAUCCGUACACUGGUUUUAAAUCGUGACUGUGGGCGCCCUUUGGACUGGGCCUCUGGUUUUGGUGUCCAUGCUUAUCCUAUAAGCGUGGAGCCGACGUUUCCCUUUUCCAAUAAUUUAAUCCCCUUUUCUAAUAAUUAAACAAAACCACCACCCUUCACAUUAAUUUAUUCAAUUAAAAAACCAAUACCUUUGGAUUCAUUAAUUAUUACCUAAUAUUCAAAUUAAAUAUUAAUCAUUCGAUUAAAGACCAAUAAAUUUGGAAUAAUUUAAAUCACACGAAUAAAGUCUACCGUCCAUCAUUAUUUUAUUUAUUUAAAAUAAAAUAAUUAAAUAUAAAAAAUAAAAAAAUAAAAAAAAUUAAGAAUUAAGUUGUCAUCAUGAUAGAAAAUUUUGUUCUCCGUCACCAUACUAGAGAAUAAUAAGGCCACGAUUUUUUUUUGGAGAUGGAUUGUUUGACAAAAGCGGAGUGAGUCUGUGGCAAUAAUAAUUAUCCGGCGGAAUAUGAAGAAGUUUGACUCAAUUCUUAUUCAAUAUUUUUAAUUACAAAUUUUAUGUUGCAAUAAAACAAAUAUUUUAUUUUGGAAACGUUUAAAAUAUUCGAUCUCAAGUGCUUGACAACUCGUAAACUUUACUAACUAUAAAAUUAUAGAUGAUUAGGUCUAGAGAUAUUUGCAAUUUGGAAAUCUUAGGGACUGUUUGCCCACAUGAUUUAAAAAUAAUUUUUUAAAAUUUAUAACAUUAUUAUAUCAUUGCUUUUUAUAAAUAAUUUGUAGAGAAUGAGUAAAAAUUAUUUUCAUCAAUUUUUAAAAAAAUAUAGGUUUCGGCUUAUUAUUUUAAAAUAUUUUUAAUUUUAAGUUAUUAUUUUGUCAAUAAAACCAUGCUCAAUGUAUUUAGUGAUUUAAAUUAAUAAUUAAAUUAUUUAAAUAAUUUACCAAAUACAUUAUACUUGUUAUUCAAUGUUGGAUUGUUUGGUUUAUUUUGUUAAUAGUUUGCAACACCUAUAAAACGUGAGAUGGAAACCCAUGUGUAAACAAGAAUUUCAAAAAGCGUAAGUUCCAUAUUAGUUUAAAUGAGAAGUAUGUUUUUAUAUUUGCCUCAUCUAACAUCUUUUUCUCAUUUAAAAAAUAAAAAAUUUAAAAAUUAAAUCAAUUCAACCGGAAUAAGAAGUGUGAAUGAACAUCUUAUUCAUUUUAUCUUUUAUUCCAUACUUGGAUGGGUGAUGUAGGGACCCCUCCCUCCGAGAUACGUGACACGCAUCUUACAGUGACACAUGAUAUGCAUUGUCAUCCGGGUCACCCUCAUCCGGAUCUUCCUAUAAAGCACACAUGACGCGCUUUUUCCAUCUGGACUGCCUCAAGGAAGAGCAAACGACGCUUACAAAGCAUAGACAUCCGGACGGCUUCCAUAAAUGCGUCUGCUCCACAAUACAUCCGGAUAACCAACAUGGGCUAUCCGGAUAUGAUUGUCCGGAUCAUUGACUAAAGUAAAGCGAGUCUUACACGCUAUCACAACAACCAGACAUGACCCACGUCCCAUCACUUGCAGAGUGAAAGGACGAGUUGAGGUGACAACAAGUCACUUCCCACGAUCUCUGACAGCCGCAUCACCUACCACGGUUUCUAACAACCGUCCGUAGGAUGGUGAUGACCCUGCUGCCAUCUAAUGUCAUCAUGACAACAUAAAAUAUCUCCCCACCAUUAAUGAGAGGAAUAGUACUCCUGACACUAUAUAUAAACCUUCACACGAAGAGGAAGGUAAUCUCCUGAUACCUAGUAAAAGGUCAACUGAUUUAUAUCUCCCUCUCUAACCAUGGCUAACAAAACCAUCGGAGGGUGCGUCCGGACACCCUGUCCGAAUGCCUUUUGCAGGUAUAACGACUGAAUCAAGAACCUAUUUUGGUUGAGGUCGCGCAUCCAUCCAUUUGGCAACUACGUGGAACACCAGGAGCGCGAGGUAUCAACAGGUGAUAGAAAUAAAAUUAAAAGUGAUUCUAAUGGAAAUGAAAUUUUAUGAAGAAGGUAUUUUGAUUCUGUAAGAUAUUUUUAAAUAUUAAAAAAUUAAAGACUCUUUUGAAUAAGUUAUUUUUUUAAACAAUUUUUUUUUUUUUGUAAUACUAAAUUCAAUUUUAUAUAAUAUAAUUUUAAUUUAAUUAACAUCUUAUUAAAAAUAUAAAAAAAUUUAAUCAAUAGAUUCAAAAUAUUCAAAAUAAAUAAUUUUUAAUAAAAUAUUAAUAUUAAUACUAUAAUAAAGUCAUAAAUUAUAUUUUUUUCUAUAAAUAUUAUAAAAGUAAAGGCAUUAACAUUAAUUGAUCUAUUUUGUUAAAAAUAAAUAAUAAUAGUUUUUAAUGCCAUUUUGUAGACCCCUUUUUUUUUAAACCAAAGUUUUUUUUUUCUUUCUUCUCUUUUUUAUUUUUUUUACCACCCGAGGGGAGCUGGUAGCACCUUGGACGAGUGGGGGACCGACUUCCAUGAAGCUUCAUGCAUGAGACGCAUAGCCUUGGACGUGACCACCUCGCCAUUGUGGUGGUUGAAGUUUCAGAGGAUGACGGUUGGAGCAACAAAGCAGGUAGCGACUUGCGAGGGAAGAAAUAAACAGGGGAGGAGUGAAAAGCUUAAAAGGGAGCAAGAGAGGUUGAAGAAUGGUUCAGAGGAAAAUUCAAGAGAGCUUGAGAGGGAACCAGUGAAGAGCCUUAGAGAGAAACUGAAGAAGAAGUAGGGGAGGAGCUCGUCAGUUCGGUCUAGGUAUGGUUUCAGCAUUCUUUUGUAUUUUCUCAUCUCAGACGGUUCUAUCCUGUUUCCUGAUGAUUUUUAGGUUCAUUUGCUGAUUGGUGUGAAUAUUAAGGGCCACUUGUUUGCUUUGCUAUACCUGCUUUUUAUGUGCGUGCUCUGUUAGGGCCUCAUGUUUUGAUAUCUUUAUUUAUCUCUGGAAAAUACUUAAUGUAUUAAUCUUUCCCUGAAUUUGAUAAAUAGAAAUCCUGCUCUUGCUUCAUGAGAUUUUUCCACCUAUAUCCAGCUCAUUGAUCAUCAUGAAAUGGAACUAAAUGUAGCAUAAUUUCUUUCUCUUGUACAUUUUUUGUUUUUCUUCAUUUUACCUUCUGUUUUUAGCAUUUUUUGGAGUGUUGGUAUCAUGUUCAGUUUGGCCGUCUGGAUUUGGGGUGUUUUUGAGAGAGAUUAGCAUUAGAGUCUUUGGGAGACAUUGCCCCUAUUGUAUAUUUGGUAAGCUGAAGGUUAUCUAUCUAAGGAAGGCUUGAAGGAGUGGCCUGAGUUGUCAUCACCAGCUGCAUCUCAACAACCAGUUGGUUCACUGAAUAUGUCCAGGGCUGAUUUCAGAAUGGCUUCCCAACAACAUGGAUCAUUUUCCAGAGUUGGACUAUACCCUGCAUGCGUGAAACGCUAUUUUCGCAUGGCCACCUUAGAUCCUAUGUUUUCCAUUUCCCACUGAACACACCUCCUGCCCACCGAACCCGUUUCCCCUACACCACAUAUCCUCCAUGCCCACCUUUAAACCCACUUCUCUCUCUAAAUCUUCACAUACCCAUUUUCUCCAUUUAUCUCACCCCUUGCAGUAGCUCCCUUCACCAUCAAACCAUCACCAAACCACCACCUGCACCACCACCAACUCCUCCACCAAGCCACCCACGGAUAGAGAAAAGAAAAGGAGAGAUUUUAGAAAGAGAGAAAUGGCACCAGUGUUGCAGAGCUCUCAGCCAUGGGUGGAAUAAUAUCGUCCAAAGCAAGUGAAGGGUGUAGCUCACUAGGACGAGGUGGUUCGAGUGUUUACCAGCGCUCUUGAGACCACAAACUGCCCGCACAUGCUAUUCUAUGGGUCGCCCGAUACCAACAAAACCACCACUGCACUUGCCAUUGCUCAUCAACUUUUUUGGUUUAUUCUUAUUAGAGGUUUUGAGGGAGUGAGGGAGGGAGGGGGGGGGGGAGAGAGAGAGAGAGAGAGAGAGAGAGGAAAGUUUGAAGAUGAUUGGACACUAAUGCAAUGAAGGAAAUAUCUACUAGAGAAAAUAUCACUAAAUUCAAGAUUUCAUAUUUUUGAACCACUGUGAGUUGGUGGAAGAUAUUUUUAAGAAUCUUACACUAGAACUUCCUGGUUAAACUUGAUGGACCAAAAAUGAUAUCUAUAAAAGGAGAAUCUUAAUAAGAGAAACUAAUUCUUGCAAUUCAUGUUGUUGGUGAGUUUGCAAUUAUGCUCAAAGUUGAAAUUCCAAGGGAAGUUAGUGGAAGAGAAAAAAACAAAGGUUAUUCAAUUUUUAAGGGGCACACCCAUGGUUAUUGAUAGUGACAUCAUGAGAGAGGUUAAUUAAUUUGUUAGAAAGUACCAAUGACCAUGUAUAUGCCAAAUAAACAUUUAUUAAGACUGACUUUUUUUUUUAAAUUUCUUUUUGCUUUGUUUUGAUGUCUAACUGUACUUGUGUGUUUCUAGUUUGUCAUAUAUCCAUUUAAAUGUUUUUUCAAAAUUUCGAUUUUUAAAUUUAAUUUUCAAUUUUUCAAAAUUCCAUUUUUCAUGUUUAUUUAUUUAAUCAUUAUUAUUUUCAUUGUUAUUAUUAUUUCAUUUAUUUUUAAAAUUCCAUCUUUAAAUAAUCCUUCAAAAUUCCAAUUUCCAAAAUUUCAGUUUUCACAUUUAUUUAUUUAAUCAUUAUUAUUUUCGUUAUUAUUAUUAUUCUAUUUAUUUAUUUAUUUAUUUUUAAAAUUUUAUCUUUAAAUAACUUUUUAAAAUUUCAAUUCCCAAAUUUAAUUCCCAAUUUUCAAAAUUUUAAUUUUUACAUUUAUUUAUUUAAUCAUUGUUAUUUUUGUUAUUAUUAUUAUUCUAUUUAAUUAUUUAUUUAUUUUUAAAAUUUUUCAUCUUUAAAUAAUUUUUCAAAAUUCCGAUUUUCAAAUUUGAUUCCCAAUUUCCAAAAUUCAAAAUUUUCACAUUUAUUUAUUUAAUCAUUAUUAUUUUUGUUAUUAUUAUUAUUCUAUUUAUUUAUUUAUUUUUAAGAUUCCAUCUUUAAAUAAUUUUUAGAAAAUUCCAAUUUCCUAAUUUAAUUUCCAAUUUUCAAAAUUCCAAUUUUCACAUUUCUUUUUUAUUAUUAUUAUUACUUUAUUACUUUAUUUAUUUUUAAAUACCAUCUUCAAAUAAUUUCCUAAACUCCAAUUCUCAAAUAAUUUUCAAAAUCCCAAUUUCUUUCAAAUUUAAUUUCCAAAAUUCUAAUUCUUAAACUUAAUCUUCGAAACUCCAAUUUUCAAAUAAUUUUCAAAAUUCCAAUUCCUUUUAAAUUUAAUUCCCAAAAUUCCAAUUCUUAAAUAUAAUUUUCAAAACGCCAAUUUUCAAAUUUUUUUUUAGUUUUCAAUUUUCGAAUAAAUUUCAAAACUUUAGUUUUCUUUCAAAUAAUUUUGAUUUCAUUCCAUUUUUCAAAUAUUUCUUUAAUCCUACCACACUUCAUCUUUCCUUAAGGUUCAGGGUCACUAAAAAUCCCAUUUUUAAUAAAUUUGUUGCCUUUUUCUUUGAGGCAAGUACCUUCAUAAAUUUUUCUUUGAUUUUAAAAUAAUUUUUAUGUUCCUCUUGAUUUUUAAAUAAACAAUAAUGAAUUUUUUUUUUCAUAAUUUCAAAAUAAUGGAAUUUGUGAAACUAAUUCAUUCAAGAUAAAUUGGGCUUUGGUGGAGGUCCUAUGCAUGAGUUUUCUCUCUUGAUUGUCAGCUGUUAUACUUAAUAAAUAUUGUUUGAUCUUUGUCUUACUUUUUGAUAUGAAUGUGAUAAUUUUAUACUCAAAUUAACCUUGUUUCUAUGAUAACGCACUAUUAAUUGUUGUUAAGGUACGAUCUCACAGACUGUCUUUUUCAAAUAAGGAGUCACACUUAGAGUUUUUUUCUUAUUUUGUUUACCCUUUAAAAAUAAAACAAAAAUAAGUGGCGAUUUCAAGCCAUUUUUUGAACAAUAAAUCAUUUUUCAAAUAAAAAGUGAGUUCGCCAACGAGUGGAAGUGCAUGAGCCGAAAUGCGGGGUUCACACAUUUAUAAAAUUAUAUAAAUAUUAUAAAAAUAUGAAUAUUAAUAUCUUAUAAAAGCAUAAUUAAUUGUUAAAAAUAAAGAAUAAUCAUUCAAAAUUAAUAAUUGUUAAUAUUAUUUUAUUUUAAAUGUAUAUAAAAACAAAGACAAUUUAAUUUUUUAAGGUAUCGAUGAACCAAAAUUUUCAUUAUAUGCAUACAUUUAUUAUUUAAUUAUGAAUAUUGUAUUUUAAAUUAUUUUAUUUAAUCUAUAAUUAAUUAAUCAAUUUUUAUUUAUUUAUUUCAAAUUAUACUUAAAAAUUAUAUGAUUUAUUAAAGAAUUCAAAACAUUAAUUAUGUCCAUUAUUUUUUGUUGUCAUUAUAUAUAUAUUUGAGUUUCAAAAUAUUUUUUAAAAUUAUUAAGUUUAUUAAUAAAUUCAAUAUAAAAUAUCACGUGAUUUAAAAUUCAUUUUUUUAAAGAAAAAAAAUAUCUAUUUUAUUUUGUUUUUAAAAAUUAUUUUAAAGAAUAACAACCAUGAUAUCAAUUUUUAAAAACAAUUUUGUUUGUAAAUUAUGUGCCCAAAUAGGAUUUUAUUAUUUAGCAAAAAAAAAAUCUCAAGUAUUUUUUUUAACUGAAAAUAAAAAAUUAUUUUAAAUCAUAUAUACAAAUAUUAUUGACAAAUUAUUUUUAUUAUUUUUAUUUUUAUUCCUAUUUUUACUUAACAUUUGAAUGAAAACAAAUUAUCAUUACUACCUCACAUUUCUAUAUGCAUCCAAAUACAAGAGUUGAAACCACUAAAUUCAUUCAUAUUUAAGAGAAAAUAUUAAUAGAAACAAAAUAUUUAUUUUCAUUUCUCAUUCUCACGUACGAAAACACUCCAUUAGAUUAACCAUUGAUUGAAUGCAAAAAAUAAUUUUUAAAUGUUCAAUUCAGAUAAUUGUAUGAUUUGUUUUAAUCAAACACAAAACAUUUGUUUUUUUUUCAAGAUUUAAACAAAUUAUAUAUAUAAAAAAAUAAUAAUGAAUUUUAAAACUCAAUUUUACUUUUUUUUUUAAGUAAAAUUUUCACUACUUAAAUAAAAGGUAAUUUUAUUUAUAAAAAAGAAGUAAAUAAUAAUGGUAAAAUUAUUCUUCUUCUUAAAAGUACUAAAUGGGAUUUUAGAGAAGCUUUAAACAAAAAUAUAAAUAAUUGAAACAUACAAACCUGUGCAUUUGGUAAUGAUUUUAGAAAGUGUUUUUAAUUUUUUUAAUACAUGAAAAAUAAAAUAUUUCAAGUGUAAGAAAGUUUAAAAGCAUUUUAUAAAAUUACUACCAAAUAUACUCCAAGUCAUUAAUAAAAAAGAUUUUAGAAAUUAGAGUAACAUUUACAUGUCAUUUAUUUUGAUGGCAUGUAAAAUGACACGUCAAAUAUAUUUUUUUAAUUUAUAAAAAUAUGAAAAUGAGGGCAUUUUAGGUAUUAUAUUUAAUGAAAUAAAAUGUAUUGUAAUAUUUUUUGGAUUCAAAAAGUGAAAACAGGACAUAUUUUCAUAUUAGGAAAAUGGGAAUUAAUGUCUACAUUUUUUUUUUAAAAAUGAAGACGUGAGAAAAAAAAUCAGUAUACAUAAAUUUUAAUUAUUUAUGAUACAUGUACAUAUAAUAAAGUAUAAUUAUCUAAUUUAAUUUAAAUAAUUAAAUAUUUGGGUAGUGUCAAUUGCUUAGGGCUUAUUUGAUAAUUAUUUUAGCACAUUUGACAAUCACAAUUGAUAACAAAAAAUAUGAUGUUUUCAGAAAACAUAUUUUAAUUUUUUUUAUUUAUUUUAUGUUUUAUGUUUUUACUUGUUUUCUUAUAGAUGUUUUAAAAAUAAUUAUGCAAAUAUAUAGAAGGAUUAAAAAAUAAUUAUGCAAACUUAUAGAAGGAUUAAAAAUAAAACACUAGAUAUAAAUAUUAUUUUAAAAAUAGGUUAAAAAUAUUUAAUAUUUUUAAACAAAAUCUUGUUUUAUAAAGUAUUAGAGAACAAUACUAAAAAAUCAUUCUCAAAAACUAUUUUUGAGAGCUAUUUUCAAAAAUGGUUGUCGAAUUCCAAACCCUAUGCUAAUCUAAAUCCUAAAAAGGUUACACAAGGUUUUGAAAAAUAGUUGUGGAGAACUAUUUUUGGAUUUUUUGUAAAUAAAUAGCUAUUUGGGAAUUUGAGAAAUAUUCUUAAUCCAUUUUUCUAUAUUUUUAAAUAUUUUUUAAAAAUAAAUUUUAUCUGUAAUAUUUUAUUUUGGAUUAUUCUCAAUAUUUGUAUAAUUAUAUUUUAAAAUAUUUGUAAGAAAAUAUUUGAAAAUAAUAAAAUAGAUUAUUAGAAAAUAAAUUUUAUGAAUAAGGAACGAUUUUUUUUUUAAUUUAUUUUUUUAAUUAUCAGGUAUGUCUACCAAACUGUUUUAAAAAACAACGGUAAAACAGGGCCUAGUGUUUUUGUAAUCACAUUAUGUUCUCAUUUCUGUAAUUCUCAACCCUUAUACUACCGCAUUAUUUGAGCAGGCCUGGCCCAACCUGUUAAUCGUGUGAGGGCCUGGGCCCAUAAUUAAUUCCUCUAGCCCAAACCAGGCCCUUAUAUAUCGAAUUAGGAGAGGAGUGUGUCGCGAGAGCAGAGGGAGGAGAGGAGAAAUGGGGAGAAAGAAGGGAACCGUGGAGUUCGAUGAAUCGCCGCCGGACGGGUACGAUCCGGAGAAUCCGUACAAGGAUCCGGUGGUGUAUUUCGAUAUGAGAGAGUAUCAGGUGAGGGAGAAGUGGAUUGACAUAGAGAAAGCCAAGAUCUUGAGAGAGAAGCUUAAGUGGUGUUACCGCAUCGAAGGUGUCAACCACCUCCAGAAGUGCCGCCACCUUGUUCAGCAGUACCUCGACGCCACCCGUGGUAUAGGUUGGGGCAAGGACGGACGUCACCCGUCCCUCCACGGUUCGCCCCUUAAUUCUCUGUUUGGUUUCCAUGGACAUGAAAAUUUUUGUUUGUUUCUAUUUCCAUUCGUUCCGCCAGCUGUUUGAUUUUGUCUUUUGAUUUUAUGGAGCAGGUCCUAAGGUUGAAGCCGAGUCGGAAUGAGCCACCCUGCGUGGAUUGUUCAAGGUAUUGGAAAUUUCUUGGUAUCAUAAUCUGUCGUUAGUUCGUAAUCGUUGAUUGCUACUUCUUUUGCUUUUUUGUUGAAAAUGCAUAUGAACUACUUUUUUCUUUUUCUCUGUCAAACGAAUACUAAAGAUUCGGUUAGUUUCGAUUAUUAUUUUCUCAGCUCUACAUGCUUAGUUACAAUUAUUUGUAUAAUUAUGAUCGUUGUGGCAUUACAUGGUCCUAAAAUUGUAGGGGUAGUAUACAGAUAAGUGGAUUAGUGACUCCAAAUGUUAUGAUUAGUUUAGAUGAUUGGAUCCUGAUCAUAGUCUUAGCUUGUUAAGGUGGCUUGCACCUGUCACCAACAACUUGAAGACAUGUAUAUUUGUUUAAUAUCAUUUAUGGUAGUUUAAACUACUACAGAAUGAGCAAGCAGUGGUAGAGUAGUUUGGAAUGGAGCACAUUAUAAUGGUUGGAAUAAGAUAUCAUGUUGUGCAAUGCUGUGGAACGUUGUAGAGUUGUUGAAAAAGUUGGGAAUAACAGGAGUAUAUUUAGUUAUACAGAAUUAUUUAGAUUUCCAAUUUUAUUGGGAUAUGAGACCAAAUAAAGUUUAUUUGAAAGGAUUGUCUUUGAUGUUGUAUUCUUGAGUACCGUCCCAUGUGGUGCUUUGGUAUCUCAUAUGUUAAUUCAUUUAUUAGUGUAAGCAACCCCGUGUAUUCAAGUGUGUGCUUUGGCUAGGGUUUGCAGUUAGCUUGAAUUCUUGUGUGCCUUACAGGGUUGAGCAAUAAAAUUGGGUGUUUUGAGUGGUUGACAUUCUUAAAAGUGUUAUACAAGUCUAUUAGGAUAGACCACUUAGCAUCCUUGAUUGAAAGGCUGUUUUUUCAUCCUCACCCUCGUUCAACUUUUUAGUCUUUUCCUCUCUUUUUCUUGCCCUUUUUAUUGAAAGGUAAUAAUAAUAUUAGUGAGAAAAAGAGAAAGAAGCAAGGUCUUGUACCAGCAAGGUAUACAUAUACACAGUCACACCUGUAGCUCAAGGAAAGACCAUUUACAAAGUGCAAAACAUUAGGAUUUCAAAUCUUCCAAGAUUACUGUCCAUAAAACCAAAAUAUCACAAUAGUUCAUUCAGUCUACGACCAGAGAGGAAAGGUUCUUGUUCUAAGCUAUUAUGAUUUGGAUUACAAUGUAUAUCAUUCAAACUUUGUGAUUGUAGAUAAAUAGAGAGAUAAAUAUUGGGGGGAGGAUUCAAACUCAAGAUCUCUAGUUAACCCAAACUUUUAUGCCAUGUUGAGUUACCAACUUUCUUAAAAGCCCAAGCUUUUAGGAUUUGGACCCAUAAUGUAUAUCAUGCUCUAACACUUCACUUAAAAGCUCUUUUAGUUCACUCAUCCUAAAUGCAAGACAAAGCAGAAAAGAGGCUGCUGCUUUCCAAUAUUGGAGUUCCUUUUUCAUAACCAUGGACUAAGUCAAUCAAUCACUUUCCAGUUCCUCUCGGAAUUCUAUUAUUGGGUUUAUUACCUAAAGCCUAGUGCAAAUGUGAAUUGCUAAAUUUCAAUGAGAGGAUGGUGAAGAAUAGCAUGAUUUUCUGAAUUUUCCUUACCACUAGCAUAUUCAAAAUCCAGGACAAAUUUUCCAUGUCUACUCAUCAAAUGAUCUAUAGCUAAGAUAUUAUCGCUAUCAGUUGUCACGCAAAAAAGGCAACUUUCAUGGGUGCAAAGUAUUCCCAUGCAGCCUUCAUCAGAAAGUCCUCAUUAUCUGAUGCUUGCCUCAUUUGGAGAAUUUGACCAAUAAAAACCAUUUCUAUUAUCCCCAAACCAACUUGGCCUCCUAUUCACAUCCACUUGAGAACCAGAAACUUGACUGUUACCCCUUUCAUCCUGGUUGAGAAUGGGGAGGUGUGGUUUUAUGUUUGAGGGUGUUGAUUUGGUAGGGCUUUUAAAAUUUUCAUGAUUAGAAACCUUGGGCAACUCAGGCCUCUUAAAAUAGCAUUCUUUGUAUGGAGAAAAAUUUGACUAUUGACCAGGCUAUGCACUAAGCACUGGCAUUUCUAAGUUGCUUGGAUUGCAUCCAUUGGAAACUUCUUGAAAACCAGAAACCAAUUUGUUUAGUGCCGGCAAGCUAUUAAAUUGGUUUUUGAAAAACCAGUUUUCUCAUUGUCCCAAAUAAAAUAAAAUAAUAAUAAAUCACAUUUACCCAGAUCAUUUUGCCAUGAAAUAUGUAACUACAAAGAAAGAUGAGGGAUCCUUCUCUAAUCACACAAUCCUCUAUAUAAAUAUGAUCAAAAGUAAGAAUAAUUGUCUGUUCUAGAAAGCAAAUAUAAUGAUACAAUUGAAAGCAAUUACAAUUGCAAAAUUAAUAAUCCCUGAAAUCAAAUGGUUGGCUCCUCUUUUUACGAACUUAUCCACCAUGGGAUUACUUGAGUGAGGAAUCCAAGUACUGAAGUUUCUAAUUCUAAAGCAAUAUAAAAAAUUUGGUAAAACUAUUCAUCAAACUUCCAUGAGCCGCCUCCUUUCUUAUUCAGCUAGAAUAGGAUGACAACUGAAUCUCUCUUUAUUAGAAGAUUGGAUAAAUCCUGAGAUUUGGUUAGCUUUAAGCCUUUCCACAAAGUACUUUGCCUCCAUGGCAAUUCCAACUCUAGCAUGUUUAGAGAAUGCUCUCACUACUGUUCCAUGAUGAUUCAUAAACCUUAAUCCAAUUUGUAGUGGUCUUGGGUAACCUAAGAAGCACUCAUCAAAAUUCAACCUGACACAAUGCAAUGUAGGAGUCCAUAUAUAGAGUUUCUCCUCAACCAAUAGGUUCCUAUCUAACAAUAUAGUGCUCAAUGGGAUGCCAAUGAAUGUUGCAUUAGUUGAGGCCUAGAGAGGAGGAAAAAUAGAUUAAAUCCCACAUUGUCUCCAAAGUCCUCCAUUUGUCCUAAAAGAUCCUUACAUUUCUCUCCUGCUAUGUAGUCCAAAUUAAUGUGAGACUAGCAGCAUCACACCACAAUGACUUCUCUAAAGGGUGAUUUCCAAAACUGCUUGUGCUUUCCUCAUUAGGGAAAUUGGGUUUAAAAAGAAAAAAAAAAAAGAACCCUUUUAAUGAUUCAGGAGGCUUUUGCAUGAUUAUCACUUCUUUUUUCUUCACUUAUCAACAAUUCUGUUAUUUUUAAUCAAUUAGCAAAGAGAUCUAUUAUAAAAAAGCAGAAGUUGAUUUCUGAAUAUGCAAGGAAUUUGUUAAAUUUGUUGAUAUCAAUCUUUAUCCAUAUUUGGACUGAUGUAAGGGCUAAUUGGUCCCACACUAUGGUUUACUAGUGCAUGAGACAUGAAAAAAUUAGGCCUGAUGAAAGAACAUAAAUAAGUUGUGCUUUCUUUCUGCAGGUGACUGAAAUGGCCAUCUGGUAAUUGCUUAAAGCAGAGGGAUAUUGGAACCUGCCUAUUUAUCAGUUUAGUUUCUUUGCUGUUAAUUGUCUUAUGCUUCAAUGGUUUUCCCUUCAUUCUUGUUAUAUCCAGAUGCCGGAUGUUAUUGGCAUUGGUUUGGAUGUUAGAUCUUUUUGCUUGUUAGCAUCCAGAAACUGAUAAUGAUUUGAACCAAGGCAAUGAAUCCAAAGAUAUCCUCUAUGAAAUAAGUUACAACUUGUGAUUUGUUCCUUGUUGAUAAUGAAUGGCAUCUUUUAUGCAAUGUUUGUUUUCUAAUAAAUGCAUUGCUGGACAUGAUUGUGUCAGAAUUGUCAAAGCAUUUUUUUUGUUUUAAUUUAAGAAUUUAUUUAUUUAUUCUGAAACUUGGUCAAUUGAAAAUUUGACUUUGUUCAGGAGUAGGCAGUUUGGGAGGUUUAGGGUCUACAGAACUAUGGUAGAUGUCUUUUGUGUUCACCCAUUCACUGCCAGAUGUUUUCCUGGACUAUUUGUUAGACGAUGGUAAAAGGAAAAAGAAAUGUGAUUUUAUGCAGUUUUGUUCAUUUCAAAUGCCAAAUACAAAGUAUUAUAGCUUGAUACUCCUCUUUUGCAACUUCUGCUUCGGAACUUGGGAAGCACAAAAUAGGUCAACUUAUCUGGAGUCUUGCCCUCCACCCCAAACAGACUAAAUUCAUCCAAUUAAGUGAAGCAAAACAAUAUCAAAUUUAGUGCUUGUAACGUUCUGAUUUUUGAAGGCAGUAAUGAAACAAGUCUUAGAGACAAUAAGAAGUAAUGGCCUUUUCUUGCCCAUCUCUUAGGUGCUUUUAAUAUAUUUACUUCUUUGCCUAGGAAAAAAAAAAAAAAAGAAGACAAGAAGUAACAUUUAUGAUUUACCUUUUCAAAAAGCACUGUGAAGAGUCCUUUUUUUCUUAGUCUUAGGCUCCAAAGUAGGAUUAGUGAUGCUAUUGAGACAUGCUGAUUGGACACCAUCUUAAUGAUUACAAUAUAGUUGGGACUGUGAAAGCAUGGAUGAUAGGGUUUUUGAUUUCAUGAUGUGGUUUUCUAAUGAGACUAUAAGAAAUCAAGGAUGGUAGCUGCUUUCCUACCUUGAGAUAUUGUGUGCGCAUAGCCACAGCUGGAACCUCUCAAACUCAUCACUCUUCACUACUCUUCUUUCCUGGAAAGCAGACAAACUUGAGGAAAUUAAGGUUAAAUGUGUGAAGGAGCAGAUUAGUGACAACUAAAAUGAAACAACCAUAAAAACUAAUUAACAGUUAUAAUGAAAAUCCUAUCACAGAAAUGGAUAAUGACUAUAGACCAGGUCUAGAAGGAAACAUAUAUUUCUUGGGAAAACUGAGAUCUGCCCUGGGAGCUCCCUUCAGUCCAAUGAGUGGGCAAAGCGUGCGGAGGAGUUGCUCCCAUGUCAUGCAUCAGGCUAAACUUAGCAUUUGUCACUCCACAGCCAUACUCGAACCGAAUUGAUUGAGAAAAGAAUAAGCAUAGCCAAGUGCAUGAGAUGGCAGCUCUGGCCGCCCCUCAGCCCUCUUUAUUGGACUAAAAGGAGCUCUUCAGCUGUUCCCCCAAAUCAUGUAUUAUCCUGCACAUGCCUCUCCCUCACACGCACAUAUGGUAGUAGUAGAAGAGAAUGAGAAGGAGCAGAAAGGUAUCACAUGCUCCCUCCCUUGUGCUUCCUUUAAACGCAGCUUGUCACUCCCACAAAAAAUGUUUUAAGAUAUGCUGUGAAAGUACCUUUUCCUGGGAAAGAGAUUCAUGGAAAUCCUCUCAUUUCAUUUUCAGAUUUUUCACCACAUUCCUGGAUUUAUAUAACCCUUGGCUCCGAGCAUCAGCCUUACCAGUCUUGUGCCAAUUGCACUGUGCCAUAUAACACAGCACGUGUAUGUCAUGCAUACCAUGUUUGCUUCUUCUCUGUGCUGUAGUUGUGGAUAGUGGAUGCAUCAUCAUGUCUACCCAUUGGUUUGAUGUUCUGGUCUAGCUUUUCUUGAACUGUUGUCAACUUUGGUGAAAGAAUCAUCGAACCAUUUUAUAAGUGAGAGAAUCAUUGGUUAUAUUGGGGUUUUUUUUUGGCACAUUUUUGGGUGAGUAGAUUAAUAAUCCCCAGGCUACUAGGUUCUCUGCCAGCAUUCUGACAUUUGAAAAUAAUUCAAAACUUUAAAUAUGAAUCUUUACCUUCUUUCUACAUUCUGAUUAUGCUACACUCCAAACUUAUCUUAGAUGGCAGUGCAUACAAGUUUCCACAUUUGACUUCUGGCACAUAAAAGAAAAUCAUAGAAGAGUGGAGCAUAGGUAUAGGAUGGUCAAAGGGCAAUUGAAUACAGCCAUCCUCUGAACUAUGUAAGUUGCGGAGAAAGGACAAGGCUUUUAGCAUAAAAUUGUAAAAGUAUUGGGGCAAUGAAAUCUCGAAAAGAGAUUCAAUAGUACUGCAUUAUUCGCAUGAGGUCACUUCUGAGUUCUGGCUUUCUCAAGUCUCAACAGCAAACACCCACAGCAACCCUUUUUCUUCUUCACUCCACAGAACUGCUCAAAAGCAAAAGGCAGA
rnacentral:lncRNA from 1 species